rnacentral:lncRNA from 1 species
UGCUUACAACAAUACUAAAAAACUACUAAGAUCGACGGGGACAACGAUUCCUCUUAUGACCAUUUUCCCAACAUAAACUACAUUGUUGUGUCAUAUGAUCUGGAGCAAUAUCCAAUUCAUUUCUACGAUGCCUAGUACUGUUGACUCAUAAGUUCUCAAACAUGUUCAUUUUGUUUUUCUUCUAAUACUUUUAGCAAUUUCCUUAGAAGAUUAUCUUUCUUCUACAAAUUUCAUAGUAAUGUGUGAAGUCGUUGUAUCACCGUCGAAAGAGGGUCUCCUCACCCGUAAAAGAAUGGUGUUAGUUUCAUUUAUGAGCAUGUUUUCUGUCCACCAAAAAUAAUUCAUCCAUCAUUUUUCUGAAAUAACAAAACAAGAAAUCAAGUGAAUAUCCAAAUAUUUUGAAGUGGACAACUUAAUUUUUUUUACCUUUGAAUGUGCACAACUCCAAAACUUAAGAUCAGAAUUUCUUGGAGUCCUCGAUGUUUACAUUUUACAAUACUCUUUACAGUUACAAACAUCUAGUUCAACUAAAUAUACAAACUUUCCGGAUUGUUGAGACAUGACUAUCAAAUUUCAAAAAUCAAAAUAUUAAGUAUGAAAAAGUAAACGAUGAAUGAAAAAUGUGGAGUGAGUAACUCAUAUUUAUUGUUGAAGAAAGAUAUAUAUAUAUAGAUUCACGUGAGUGGAGUUAACAAAAAGAAUUAUAGUUCUCCCAUUUGUGAGCGAACUACUAUUAAGAUUUGUAUAAUAUUGAUUUGGAUGAAUUUGGAGUUAAAGGAGACUACGACGUAAAAGAUGAUAAUUAUAGUUCGCCAUAAAUGGGCUAACUGUCCGUUUUAGUGUGUUUUUAGAGAGGGUCUCUUUUGAUGCUUAAAGUUUAAAAAGUGUCUAUUUUAAUGUCGAACUCUAAAUUUGACUCUCUAUAUAUAGAUGUAUAUAUUAUUUGAACGAUUUGGUAAUUCUUUCAAAACGACUAUAUAUAAAAAUUGUGUUAGGCCUAGGAAACCAAAAGAAAGCAUAAGUUAAAAAUGAAAGGAAAAGAAGAAAAUGUGUGUGCACUUGUUAAAAAUAAAGUGAUCAAAUAAAAGAGAUAAUGAAUGUCCUAGGUCUAGACUCGCACAACUUAUAAUUUAAAAUGGGAUCAUGACAAUAUUGUUUACUUAUAUACAUAAUAUUUUUUUUGUAUUUUAUAAAGUGGAACUUCUUAUCUUAAAUUGUGGUAUCAAAAAGUCACUAUCAACUUUCACCAUAACUUAAUACUUUAUCAUCAUCAAUUAAUCAAAUGACCCAAGUUGAAUUAGCCAAAUAAUUAAAGAAAAAGUCGAGGCACUGUAUUUUCACUUGUCGUGUGGAUUGCAGCAAAUAAAUCCAAAUCCAUAUAAUUGAAUCUUUAAUUUAAAGAAUAUUUUACCUGCAUCCUAAAUCUAUGGUAUCGUGUAAUUAACAAAUAAUAUAACUUGUAAUUGUGUUUUCUCAUGAAUAAGAUUGAUACUAAGAUUAGAUUCUACGUCACACUUAUAAAUGAUAAACAACAAUACCGACAAAACAUAGUUACUACUCUAUUUAUCAGUUUGUCAGAGUUAUUAUUACAAGUGUCUAGAAUAAACCUUAAAAUGUUAAUUUAGAAUAAUUUAGGUUAAAUUAAAGUCUCACAUGAACUUAUUAGUGAUUUUUCUAUUUUAUAGUUGCCAAAUUUUAGUUUGAACACUUAAAACCUUGGGUUCAUCCAAAGUUUUGAAGGAUUAGAAAAUUGGAAUUUUCUUGGCCGCUAGACAAAUGGAAUAAAAGAAAAAUGCUGAAAAAGACCUAUUUUAUGGAAUAAAAUUAUUUCUUCAAUUUUUUCUGAUUUUUUUUAUUUAAAAUCUUUAAGAGCUAACUAAGAGAUUAUCGAUAAUAGAUUCAACCCCACAAGUUAGUGGCAAGAAAGAUUUCAAAUAUUCUUUAGUAAUAAAACUCUCAUGAACCGUAGUUAAAAAAAUAAGAAAAAUAUUAUAAUUACUUUUUUUAUUAGGUAGAAAGUCAAAAAAGACUGAUUAUUUGUUUUUUCAGUAACCAAUAGGGGUGUACAAAAUCUAACCGAAAAUCGAAUUAAACCGCAAAUUGAGUCAAAUUGGAAAAAAAACUCGACUAGUGAUUUGGUUUGACUUGGUUUGGGAUUGGAAAAAAAAACCCGACUAUAUUUGGGUUGGUUUGGUUUUAACUAAAAAAAGUCAACCGGGACCAAACCAACCCGACAUUAUAUAUGUAAUUUUAAAAUUUUAUUUUAUACAUAAAAAUAUUUACUUUAAUAUAAUUUUAAAAUAUUUCUUAUACUAUUUCAUAGUUUUUAUCUUUUAAUAUAUUAUUUCAAGUUUAACACUUAGAAUUCGGACUGGUCCAAUAAAGAUUAUAGUUCAUAGAUGUUGAUAAUUAUAAUGAAACUUAAAUCAAAAUCAAAUUAAUACUAAUGCUAAAAAGAAAAUCAAUUCAACACUAAAAAUGACAAUAAUAUUAAAUAUUUUUUCUUUAGUUUUACUAUUGGUUUAGACAAUUAAAAUGCAUAAUCUAAUUUUAAUUUUUCUUAACUAUUUAGUAAUGUAACUAAUACUUGUUAAACUUAUUUUAGCAUGAUUUAGUACUUUUAAAUUAUGAUCAUUUUCAUUAUGACUUUGCAAUAUUUAUUUUAUAUGAUGAUUUCAAUAUUAUUUUUUAUUGAAUAUUUUAGUGUCAUCAGUACUCAUAUCAUAUUUUGUGUUAUUUUCUUAAGAAACACCAUAGAUAAUUGUAUUCGGUUGGACUAAAGAAAUAUUUGAAGCACAAGCUAAUUAUAUGUUUGUAUGCAAACUUUAUCGUAAAAAUUCAAAAAUCUGAAAAAAUCCGAGGUUUAUUAGUUUGGUUUGAUUUAUAAAUUUAAUAAAAAUUCGACACAAUGAUUUGGUUUGGUACUUGAAAAACCCGAACCAACCCGAGGUUGAUAAACUCGAAAAAAUCCGAAUUUUAUUAGUUUGGUUUGGUUUAUAAAUUAAAUUUUUUUAUACAAAUGAUUUGGUUUGAUAUUUAAAAAACCCGAACUAACCCGGUCAUGUACACCCCUAGUAACCGAUAUGUAAGUUUUCCACAAGAAAAAAGUUUUCUUAAAGAAGCAAAAACGUAUAAUAGUUUGUUUUGCCUUUGAUUUAAGAAAAAUAGUGGAUGCUUUUAGGCAAGGUUGAACACAUUUUUCGAAAAUUCCUCCAAGAGAGUGGACUCCUCUAGAUGCUCCAAGAAAUCACCACAAUUAUAUUUAACUAGUUAACAUGUUCGCACGAUCAUAACAACGAUUUUUAAGACAAAAAAAUCUUAUAAAUUAGCAUAUACUAAAAAAGAAGAAAUAUGAUCAAUACUUAGAUCAAAAUUUAAAAUGUUUAUCAUAUAUAAUUGUUUCCAUUUUUAAGAUACAAUUUUCUUAUUAUUUUGUUGGGGGUGAAAAGAACAUGUUUUUUAUUUUGAAAAAAAAAUACUAACUUAAUUUUCUGCUUAAUUUUCUAUUUGCCGUUGAUCAUCAAAUAAAACAUAAAUAAUCAGUCCUCCUCAUUUUUUAAAAGAAUGGAUGCUUAUUUAAAUGAGAAACUACUGAACAUAGACCUUUUAUAAUAUCAUUCCUCAAUAUGAUUUUUUUAACAAAAAAUCAUACUUGUUAUGUACGUCUGUAUGUAAUCUUUUUUAAAAAGUCUUUUAUUUUUUUUAAAAAAAUUUGUGUAAGUUAAAAUAUGAAAAUUAACAAAAAAGCAUGUCAAUAGUAAUACAAAGGAAAGAACAACUAACUAUUUUCUAAUCAAAUGAAAGAAAAAUAUAUAAAAUCGUAAUGAUAAAAUUGAAAAGCAAUUAAUAUUAAUGUUUCAAUAAACAACUCGAAACAAAAUUAUAUCGUUAUUUUUAUUUGUUUUAAUUAUCAAAGAAUAAUUAUACAAAUAAUAUAUAUAUAUAUAUAUUUCUCAAUUUUAAGUGUAUUGUAAAACCUUUUUGAUUCAUUAAAUCAUGACUUUUUUCAAUAAUAAAAGCAUAAAAAACUAGAGAAUUUUUAUUUAUUUGCUUACAACAAUACUAAAAAACUACUAAGGUCAAUGGGGACAACAAUUCCUCUUAUGACCAUUUUUCCAACAUAAACUAUAUUGUUGUGUCAUACAAUCUGGAGCAAUAUCCAUUUCAUUUCUACACCUAGCACUGUUGACUCGUAAGUUCUCAAACAUGCUCAUUUUGUUUUUCUUCUAAUUCUUUUAGCAAUUUCCUUAGAAGAUUAUCUUUCUUCUACAAAUUACACAUUAAUGUGUGAAGUCGUUGUAUCACCGUCGAAAGAGGGUCUCCUCACCCGUAAAAGAAUGGUGUUAGUUUCAUUUAUGAGCAUGUUUUCUGUCCACCAAAAAUAAUCCAUCCAUCAUUUUUCUGAAAUAACAAAACAAGAAAUCAAGUGAAUAUCCAAAUAUUUUGUCACGCCCCGAGCCUACACCCUGGAUGUGGCCGCCACUCGAGAACCAUUGUUGGCCCCAAGUGAAACCUUGGCCUGACUUACUUACUCAAUGGAAGACUUUACUCAAGAUAAAUACUUUUAAAACAAGUAAACUGGACUGCUCAAAAUAUAACUUAGAAUGUAUUAUAAUAACAUUCACUACCCAAGUGGUAACUCAAGUCUCAACUUAACUGAAAAGGAAAAGAAAAGACUCAUGAACUAACAUCACUGACUCUGUCUAUAAAGCCUCUAAACAAUUGAGAUGGACGUCGGGACUAGAUCCAUGACAUCCUAAUGAACAAAAAUACUAAAAGCAAUAAAAGGAACCUCCGGAAAGCUAGGAGACUCACCAACUGACUCUGAGUGCUCAACCUAAUCAACGAGGCACUGGAUGCUGAUCUUGGUUACCUGCGUCUGCAUCAUAAUAAGAUGCAGGCCAACUGGCAUCAGUACCUUGAAUGCACGAGUAUGCGAGUUGGAAUGCUAAACAUAACAUAGGCUUGAAAAGAUUCUAAAAGAAACACUUACCUUGGCUCUUCUCAACUCAAGUCAACAUAACUGAACUCAUUUCAAUAUAAAACAGUUUAAAAACAAGUGCAUUAUAAGGAAAAGUUGUUUAAAACAUGAUGUCAACUCUGUGUAUUAGAAUACAAUAAUAACUAUGUAUGUAUGCAAAGAUACAAUAUGAACUCUGUUUGUAUAUAAAAAUACAAAAUACUGAUGUGGGAGUUUCUCUAACCGACAACCAUCACUUAAGAGCUAUAGUGAUGAUACAACGUUUUACCUCACGCUGCCAAGGACCGUCCUAUACAUUGUCGGGGGUAUAAAACCUAACUCACUAAAUGGAUCCACUAGUCUAUGCUAAAAGUCACUAAAGGAAUCAUCUAAAAAGUAUGACCAUUUUCUACCCAUGGUGGCUACAUAGUUUAUGGGGGGCUGUGAGUUGUCUGAACUCUCCCCCAUAUCAGUGCUCAAUACUACUCCCAAAAUAUUAUAUUAGCUCUUAUGUUUGAAAACAUACUCCUUUCUGUGAUUUGAGAUUAGUGCUCCAAAUUUUACCUUUAAGGCUAUCUUGGAAAUCAAAGUUUCCUCUCUUGCUUCAUUUAGAAAGCGAUUACUCUUUACUGAAAACUAGCCCGAAGGCUCCUUGGAAAUCGAGGUUUUCUUUCUUGUCUAAAUGCAAAAACAUUUUAAACCCUUUGGGAAUACAUAACCUCCAUAUACUUUGGAAGAAAUGAACUUCAACUUUACUCUUUACUGAACUCAAAACUUAAGUCUUAAAACAAAGUUAAAACGUUUGCAAAAGACUUUUGGAAAACUUUAUGAACUUCUCUUAACUUGACUCUUGACUUCUCUUGACUUGACUCUUAACUUUUCUUGAAUUGAAUUUAUGGAUUCAAUGAUCGUGAUUUGUGAUAGGAAAGAUCUCAUGAUGUUUAGGAAUGAUUUUAGAUAGUUAAACAUGAGAAAAGACCAAAAAUCAAUAUCUGAGGGUGGGUCCGCGACGCGGAGAAGCAUUUAAAUAUUGAUUUUGAAAAUAAAUUUUGAGCCAGAAUGGUCUGUGACUGCUCCGCAAUGUGAAAUGACUUUUCCCAAAUCUGGGGACUAGCUCCACGAUGCGGAGGCACUGCUAAAUUUCGUCGGAUUUCGACCGACGAAAUUUCUUCUUCGUUUUCCAGCUCUAAACCCUCUAAACUCCAUGGGUUCUUUCCCCAAACACUUAGAAUCGAUUAUAUGCUCAAAGUACAUCAGAUUGUACUCAAAAUCAAACCUAAAAUCACGGAUUCGGAUCAAACAACUCCUCAACGAUUUCAACGAAUCAAGAAUUUAAUAGAACUUUAACAAACCCACUCAAUUUCUAAGCUUUCAAGAACUUAAAUUCGCUGAAAUAAAUCAUGAUUGGCGCAUGGGUGAACUAACCCAACGCUAUGUGAUCUCACAUACCUUGUAGGGAUAACCCCCGACGAAAUCCACAAGCUAAUCUCGACGAAUUUUGAACGAAUCUUGAACGUUCUUCUCCUUUCUCCAAGCCCUAGCGUAAUUUGGUAAAAGCGUAAACUGAUCUAAUUCUGUUUAGACCCUAACUUAAUUACCAAAAACGAAAUAAAAUAAUUGGGCAAGGAAAAGACCAAACUACCCUUUAAAAAUCCAGAUUGAACUUUCCUUAUUCCAACAUCCCAACUUCCAAAGGACAUAUCUUACUCAUAUGAACUCGGAAUCGCGCAAACUCAACGACAUUGGAAAGAUAAUUCCAAGAGAUUUCCUACCAUAACUAGAAGUGCUCCUAACUCAUCCUGAGCUAGAAGUUAUGUCCAUUUGAAGUUGACUAAAAACUCACUUUUUUCCUAACUUAACAAAAUUUCCAGAUUUUCCUUCUUCCCAAAAAUGACUAUUUCAAAUUCUUAGCUUCUUCCUAGUUAUUUCAAAUUGCGAGAUUGAAGUGGACAACUUCAUUUUUUUUACCUUUGAAUGUGCACAACUCCAAAACUUAAGAUCAGAAUUUCUUGGAGUCCUCGAUGUUUACAUUUUACAAUACUCUUUACAGUUACAAACAUCUAGUUCAACUAAAUAUACAAACUUUCCGGAUUGUUGAGACAUGACUAUCAAAUUUCAAAAAUCAAAAUAUUAAGUAUGAAAAACUAUAAGAUGAAUGAAAAAAUGUGGAGUGAAUAACUCAUAUUUAUUGUUGAAGAAAGAGAUAUAGAUUCACAUGAGUGGAGUUAACAAAAGGAAUUAUAGUUUGCCCAUUUGUGGGCGAAUACUAUUAAGAUUUGUAUAUUAUUGGUUUGGAUGAAUUUGGAGUUAAAGGAGACUACGACGUAAAAGAUGGUAGUUAUAGUUCGCCAUGAACUGUCCGUUUUAGUGUGUGUUUUUAGAGAGGGUCUCUUUUGAUGCUUAAAGUUUAAAAAGUGUCUAUUUUAAUAUCGAACUCUAAAUUUGACUCUAUAUAUAUAGAUGUAUAUAUUAUUUGAACGAUUUGGUAAUUCUUUCAAAACGACUAUAUAUAAAAAUUGUGUUAGGCCUAGGAAACCAAAAGAAAGCAUGACUUAAAAAUGAAAGGAAAAGAAGAAGAUGUGCGUGCACUUGUUAAAAGUAAAGUGAUCAAAUAAAAGAGAUAAUGAAUGUCCUAGGCCUAGUCUCGCACAACUUAUAAUUUAAAAUGGGGUCAUGGCAAUAUUGUUUACUUAUAUACGCAAUAUCUUUUUUAUAUUUUAUAAAAUGGAACUUCUUAUUUUAAGUUGUGGUAUUAAAUAGUCGAUAUCAACUUUCACCAUAACUUAAUACUUUAUCAUCAUCAAUUAAUCAAAUGACCCAAGUUGAAUUAGCCAAAUAAUUAAAGAAAAAGUCGAGGCACUGUAUCUUCACUUGUCGUGUGGCUUGCGGCAAAUAAAUCCAAAUCCAUAUAAUUGAAUCUUUAAUUUAAAGAAUAUUUUACCUGCAUCCUAAAUCUAUGGUAUCGUGUAAUUAACAAAAAAUAUAACUUGUAAUUGUGUUUUCUCAUGAAUAAGAUUGAUACUAAAAUUAGAUUCUACGUCACACUUAUAAAUGAUAAAUAACAAUAUCGACAAAACAUAGUUACUACUCUAUUUAUCAAUUUGUCAGAGUUAUUAUUACAAGUGUCUAGAAUAAACCUUAAAAUGUUAAUUUAGAAUAAUUUAGGUUAAAUUAAAGUCUCACAUGAACUUAGUGAUUUUUCUAUUUUUUAUUUGUCAAAUUUUAGUUUGAACACUUAAAACCUUGGGUUCAUCCACAGUUUUGAAGGAUUAGAAAAUUGGAAUUUUCUUGGCCGCUAGACAAAUGGAAUAAAAAGAAAAUGCUGAAAAAGACCUAUUUUAUGGAAUAAAAUUAUUUCUUCAAUUUUUUCUGAUUUUUUUAAUUUAAAAUCUUUAAGAGCUGACUAAGAGAUUAUCGAUAAUAGAUUCAAUCCGGCAAGUUAGUGGCAAGAAAGAUUUCAAAUAUUCUUUAGUAAUAAAACUCUCAUGAACCGUAAGUUAAAAAAUAAGAAAAAUAUUAUAAUUACUUUUUUAUUAGGUAGAAAGUCAAAAAAGACUGAUUAUUUGUUUUUUCAGUAACCAAUAUGUAAGUUUUCCACAACAAAAAAAGUUUUCUUAAAGAAGCAAAAACGUAUAAUAGUUUGUUUUGCCUUUGAUUUAAGAAAAAUAGUGGAUGCUUUUAGGCAAGGUUGAACUCAUUUUUAGAAAAUUCCUCCAAGAGAGUGGACUCCUCUAGAUGCACCAAGAAAUCACCACAAUUAUAUUUAAUUUGAAUAAUAAUGUAGCAAACCUAAAAGAAAUGGAGGAAGAGAAAAAUAAAUUAUCUAGGCUUAAUUUCAUGUAUGAUAACUAUUUUUUAUUUAUUUACCCAUUAUAUCAAUAAAAUCACUAAAUUUUAUUCAAUAACAAUAACCAAGACAAAAAUAGGUUCAUGAAAGAAAGCAUCUUUCAAAUAACAUGACAUCUUAUUUACACUUAACGAAUGAGAAGCGCCUUUAACCAUUAUUGAAUUUAUAAUAUUUAUAUAUAUAUAUAUAUAUAUUAUUUUAUUUUGCCAUGAUGAGAUUAGUUUAUAAGUGAUGGAGUUCACUUUCUUGCAACAAUAAGAUUUCAAGUGUGAUUUAGACAAGACAAUCUACCAAUCAACCAUUGUAGCAAUAAUACAAUUUGGAAUGGUUCCUUUCCCAAAUCAAAGCCAUACAAUUAAGGGGUCAUUUAGUAGAGUGUACGUCAAUAAUUUUGUAUAAAAUUAUGCUGAAGUUAUUUCUUAUGUAUUGUUGGUGUGUUAAAAUAACAUAUAUUAUAUAGUUUUUAAGAAAAUUAUUUGUUUAUAAAAAUAUCCUCCAUUAAAUACAAUGAAAAAAAUAUGAAAUUUUUUUUGAGGGACAAUUGUAUCUUAAACAACAGUGAUAAUACAUUCAUUAAUAAAAACAGAUGAGGAAAUCUGGAAUGCACUAAAUUCUAUUGGAGAUGAUAAAGCAACUGGAGUAGAUGAAUAUAAUGCUUAUUUUUAUAAGAAGACUUGAAGUAUCACCAGUUAUGACAUGCUCAGGGCUAUCAAAAAGUUUUUUCAGUCUGGAAAAUUUUAUAGACCAGUUAAUUGCACUGUGAUCACAUUGGUCCCUUAAAAUUUCAAUCCUGUGAAUAUAAAAGAGCAUAGACCCAUAGCUUGUUGCACUACCCUUUACAAAAUCAUUGCCAAAGUCCUAGCUGCUAGGAUGCAGAAAAUUAUGGCACAUAUUAUCAGUGAAGCUCAAUCAUGAUUCAUCCCAAGGAGAAAGAUUGUUGAUAACAUCAUCCUUGCCACUAAGCUGGUUAAAACAUACUCUAGGCGAUACAUUUCUCUAAGAUAUAUGUUAAAAAUUGACCUACAAAAGGCUUAUGAUUCUGUGGAGUGGUCUUUUUUAGAACAGGUGCUGGAGAACCUAUGUUUUCCUCAGAAAUUCAUCUAAUGGAUCCCGGACUGUGUGCAUACUGUGAAUUAUAUAAUCACGAUAAAUGGAGAUACCACACCCCCUUUUUAAUGUUGCAAGAGGGCUUAGACAAGGAGACCCUAUCUCUUCAUACUUAUUUGCUAUAUUAAUGGAAUAUCUAAAUAGAUGCCUUGCUGAAAUUAGAGAAAUCUAAGGGUUCAAGUUUCAUCCUAAAUGUGGCAGAUUGAAUAUAACUCAUUUAUGUUUUGCAGAUGACUUUUUACUUUUUAGUAGAAGGGAUCAAAAAUCUGUAAAGAUCAUUUAUCAGUGUUUCCAAAAGUUUUCCCAAGCAUCAGGACUGCAGGAAAGCAUGAAUAAAAGCUCCAUAUAUUUUGGUGGUGUCCCUGAGCAUGUAAAACUGAAUAUACUCUAGUAGAGUGGUUUUGGAUUAAGUAUCUUGGUGUUCCUCUAUCUAUUAAGAAACUAACUAAUAAAAUUAUUGCUAAAAUCUCCUCUUGGACUGCUAAGAGACUCUCAUAUGCAGGAAGAAUUUAAUUGGUUUAAUCUGUACUCUUUGUUAUCCAGGCCUAUUGGUCUCAACUCUUCAUCAUUCCUGCAAAAGUCCUUAAGCUUAUUGAGUCAUAUUGUAGAAGUUUCAUUUGGUCAAGAACUAAUACCAUUAACAAGAGAGAAUUGAUAGCAUGGGACAAAAUUUGUCUACCUAAAUCAGUUGGAGGCAUGAAUCUCAUUAAUAUCAGACUGUGGAACCAAGUUGUUAUUGCCAAGACCUGUUGGGAUCUUGCUCACAAAUCUGACAAGUUAUGGAUUAGAUGGAUCCAUUCAUUUUACAUAAAGAUUCAAUAUUUCUUUACUGCACCUAUUCUAAUGCAGGCUUCAUGGAUGAUCAAGAAGAUCCUUAAUGCUUGAUGUGCCGCAAAACCAUGGCACAUUUGACACUUAAUAACUAUGAACUAAUACUGGAAUUAAGUGAAAUGUUGGAUUAUUUGAUGGGUUUGUUAAAUGUGUAGGCAGAAUCUGGGUUGUAUAAAAAAGUGGAAAAGAAGAAGAAUUGAUGUUGACCAAGUGAAGUUCAAGGCCAACUUCACGGACCGUGAACUUCAUUACGAUCCGUGGUUGAGCUCGUGAACGUGAGGCAGUGCUGGGCCUUGAGAAGAUGAAGAGCAGGAAUAACCAAGUGAAGACCACGGAGGGUUCUACGGGCCGUAAUCCUCAUCACGAACCGUGGUGGUGAUCGUGAUGCUGAACCAGAGAAGAGGUUAAUAGAUGUUGUUAAGAGAUGGGGCAAAGUUAAAGUCAUGGGCACCUUUACUGGCCGUGAAGGUCACUACGAACUGUGGUACCCGUCGUGAUGAUGAACCAGUGGAUGGACUUCGAAAUGCUGACAGAAGGUUGAAACCCAAGUGAAGACCACGGGCGACAUCAUGGGCCGUGGUUCUCACUACGGAUCGUGGUAGCUCUCGUGGUGCAUUUUCCAGUGAAGGAAUUGAAGACUCAAUCUUUGGAAAACUUGAAGGGAAGAUCACAGAGGGCUUCACUGCCUGUGAAGCCCUCUACGAACCGUAAAAGUGGUUGUAGAGCCAUCCGACACCUCAGUCCUUGUUUGAUUAGGACUCAUUUUAAACAUUCUAUUUUGAAUUACUUUAGGUCAUUUUUGGAUCAGUAUUCAUUAUCUUACGUUUUACGACCAAGAACACAUUAUUACUCUUAGCUUUUGAUUUUUGGAUUUUUGAUUAUUGUUAUGAGUUGGACAUUCAGAUUCAGACUAUCAGAUUAUCAAAGUGAUUGUUGAUUUGCUAAUUAUUUUCGCAAGUCUUUCUCAAUAUGUUUUCAUCCCUAAUUACUGAUUGUUUAUGUGAAAGCAUGAGUGGCUAAAUACCACGACUGGGGUUGUGGGAUCUAUGAUGAUAUUCUAGUUGCGAUUCCGUAAAAGGCAGUCUGUGUUUACAACCUGUAGUUUUUAGCUUUCUAUAUCAUCUUAGUCUAGUGAGUGCACACAUUAAACGAGCCUGUAUCUGGUAUUUGUUCGAGAGAAAAAUACCAGUUAGGAAAAAGCUGAAUUAAAUUAACAAAUUAGAGUUAAAGCUUGAGUUCGAGAGAAAAGAUCAUUAACACCAUAUCAUUUCAAGUAAGGUUCAAUGUUAGUAACACUCUAAGGUCGAGAGAACAUGAGUGAUCACUAUCUUAUUAGGCUGAGAAGCGUUAGAUAAAUUUAACUCGCAAGGAUUCUCUAAACAUUGAUUUGCCUAACACCCAAAUUACAGGAGAACACUAGAACCAAUGUUAUGGUGAACACAAUCCUGAUUUCUCUUAAUUAAUUGAAUCAAUCUUACAACGAAAUAGUUUGUUAGUCUUGAGCCUGGAUUUUGACUGUAGGUUUUGGUAAUUAUAACAAUUCAACCAUACCCAAUUUACUUUCCAUUGUUAUUUGUCUAGGAGAUAAUAAUAACAUUCGAAUAAACGCGACAAUGAAACCUUAUCUGUAAAGAAAUUCUCUGUAGGAUCGACCUCAACUCUAGUUGAGUUCUGUAAAUUGACAUCGACCGUUUACACUUCUAAUUUGAAGUGUAAGUUUGGACGUAUCAAUGCUAGACUGACUUUAGAGCAAACAUAAAAGAAAAAUGAUAUGGUUACCAUUGGCAGCCUCUACCUGAGUUUAGUUGGAAACAGACCUAGAGUGCCCUGGAAGUGUCUGAUGUUUGCCAACUCUGCAAAACCAAAGGCCAUUAUUACAAUGUUGCUCCAAGUACAAAACAAACUAUCAACUAGUGAUAGGUUGGCUUCACGGGGGAUGGAUAGAAACCAACAGUGCAAGUUGUGUCAAAAUGGACUCGAAACUAGAGAUCACUUGUUUGUCUACUACUAUGAGUUUACAAUAACUAUUUGGAGAAAGUUGAUGGCAUGGAUCAAAUGGCCAGACUAUACCUCAGAUGCUUGGGACACACACUUGAAGUGGAUCAUAGAGAAAGCUAGAGGCAACACUCGAUGCCCAGUUUUUCAGACUAAUGUAUGCAGAGUGUAGUCAUGCAGUGUGGAUAGAAAGGAAUCACAGAAUUUUCGAAGGAAAAAAAUAGAAAUCUUGAACACAUUUCUAAAGAGAUAGUUUAUAUGUGUAGUAUGAGGGCUCCUAAGGCCAUUCAGUGGCGGAGCCACCUUAGAAUUAGGGGGUUCGUCCGAACCCCUUUCGACGAAAAAUUAUAUGAUUUAUACAUGGUUAAAAUACUUUUUUAGGUAUAUAUAGUAGAUGUCGAACCUCCUUCGGCUACUUCGUGUGUCUAUUUUUUCAUAUUUUGAAUCCCCAUAUUGAAAAUUCUGGCUUCGCCACUGGUUGCAAUAACUUCUCGUUCUAUGAAGUUGUGUCUCCUUUGAGUUUUAUUUUUCUAGUUAACAAAUUGUGAUGUAGUUUGUUAUGAUUUGUAAAUACCAUUUGGUGAUUAAUGAAAAUACAGUUAAUUACCAAAAAAAAUAGUUGUAUUGUUAAUAUCAUAGUUAGUCAUUUAUUAGUCAUUCAUAACAUAACACCAAAUAGAGUAUGAGGGUGUUUGGAUUGGCUUAAAAGUUGGUCAAACCUACUUUUAAGUUAGUUUUUUUGCUUCUGGAAGUGUUUGGCAAAUAUAAAAAAUAACUUAAAAUAAGUUACGAAUAGAGCUAUCAAAAUGGGCUGGCCUAACCCAACCCAACCCUAACGGGCUAGAGAGUUAAAUGGGUUGGGAUGGGCUGACCCUUUUAAUUAAAGGGCCUAUUAAAUAGCUGCCCAACCUAGCCCUAAGCGGGCCACAGGUUGGGACGGGUUGGCCCUUCAACCAAAAAAUGAACAAUAUUACUCUCUUAGAAAGAGUAUCUAAGAGUAUCGAACGUUGACGUCUAUGAACACGACAUCAAUACAUACAAAUUUUCAUUUAUGAAUCACACACUUCGAUGAAUACUUACAAAAAUACAUUUAUGAACCACACACUUCGGUGAGUACUUAUACAUAAUAGUCAACAUAAGAUUUAGCGGAAAAAUGUUGAUCAUUCCACCAUAUCUCCCACAAAAAACUAGCUAGUUUAAAAGACUUGAUUUUUUAUUUUUAAAAAUAUUUAUUGAUAAAAACUUUACAAAUAAAACACUACUAAAAUAUAUAUAAAAUAUAUUUUUAAAUAUUCAUAGCCCACGGGCUGGCCUCUGAGACUUGUGGAUUGGUCCUACGAGGCUAGCGGGCCAAAUGAGGCUGGGCUAAAAAGCCUCGUUCCUAAAUGGGCCAAAAAAAUUAGGCCCAACCCCACUUAAUUCAAGGGUUGGGUUGGGUCGGUCUAGCGGGCCAAGCCCAUUUUGACAGCUCUAGUUACAAAGUGUUUGACAAAGUAAAAAAUGACUUAAAAUAAGUCAGAAACUAAAAGUAGGUCUCUUCCUACUUUUUAUUUUUUGACUUAAAAGUCAUUUCAGUUUGACUUUUUAUUUUUGACUUAAAAACUACUUUUUUAAGUCAAUCCAAUCCAAACAGGCUCUAUAUAUGCAUAGAGGCGAAGAUAUCUUUUUAAAUAUAUUCUAGAAAACAACCCCUAAUUAGGGGAUUGAGACAGACUUAAGGUAGGAGAUAUAUAGAUGUGUGAGAUUCGGUAAUAAAGCAUAAAAUCGAUCCAUAUAUUCUUGCAAGUUGUAAUUUUGUUCCUUGAUUCAUGUUCAAGACUAGACUAGAUAUUUUCACCUUUCCACAAAUAUAGGAGCUUUAUCUACAUCUCAUAGAGUAUCAAAACAAUAUGCCACAUGACAUUUAAUUUUAACUAGGUGUUGUAACUUGUAAAUGGAUGAAUUGAGUUAAAUUCGAACGGAUUAAAUUGAAUCGAAAUAAUUAUGACGUCAAGAUUUAAUUUAUUUAAAAUUUACUUGGAUCAAGAUGAGUUAAGCAAUAAAUCAGAACUCAAUACAUUGAAUUUCAUUCAUUAAUGUUUCACCACUUUGUAAAAAUAUCAUAAUUAUUACGAUCAACGUAAUAUGUUGAUUAUUCUUUGAACGAAGGACCUAAUUUACAUAGUACAUUCCUUUAGGGUUCUAGUUCUAGUUUAUAUGCAACUAUUGACUUUUAACUUCUUUUCCUUGUCCACAUUCACACACUUUGAGAAAACAUUUAUUUUAAAAAAAUUUACUUUACUUGUUUGGAUUGGAUUACAUUUUGAUUCGGUAUGAUCCGAUUAUUCUGAUGAAUUAUUUUGAGGUCAAUUCAUUUGGUCAACUCAACAAACGGUCAUGAUUCAAUACGUAAAAAAACUAUAUAAAUUAGGCGGGUUAAAAUUGACUUUGUCAUCCCUAAUUUGAUUCAAGAAACAAUUAAAAGCUCAUACACCUUUAUUUGAGUUUGUUUGUGACGUUAACUCAAUUUUAUUUUUGGUUUUAAAAAAAUUGACCCAUUCUUUUAAUUAAAUCAAACAAAUUAAUACAUAUUUAAAAUAUAAUUUAACACUAAAUGCUUUUCUUUUAAAUCGAUCGGAUUCAUGAAAAUAACUUUUUUACCUCACAAAAAUAAAACUAAAAUCUGUGUGAAUUCUGCACUUGUAAAAUCUUAAUGUGUAUAUUGUUAUAAUGUGUAGUACUCUAGAUUCAAUCUUAAAAAACAAGGCUAUCCACUGAUAAAGUUAGAAUGAAAUGAUAGGCAAUGUUCCGGGUUCAAAAAGUUGCAAAAGGUUCUGGUGAUUUUAUUCUAUCUAUAUUAUAGGUUUAAAAAGGCAAAGUUACUUAGAUGCAUAUAUAAAUAUUACCGGUGGAAUAACAAUAACAUAAAAAUAUUUUCAUACAUAUAUGGGAUACCUUAUGUCAGAAUCUUUAGUAGUCCCUCCGUCCCAUUUAGCAAACAUAUAAUAAUAUAAACUCGACAAUUAUAAUUUUAAUAAUUGUGUUUUAUAAUUAUAGUUUUAUUUUCUAUGAAGGUUACGGCUUGUGUAUUUCUACCGGUUGAUAUAUUGCGUUUGCGAAUAUACAAAUAUGAUAAGUACAUAAAAAUUUCGUAUUUAUACAUUGAGGAAUUUUUCAGAACUCCGUUUGUAUAUUUCGUUUGCCAAUAUACAAAUAUGAUAAUUUAUUAUCAUUUUUUCAUAAGUCAUAUACAAAUAGAUAGCGUCAUCAUGUACAAAAUUUUAGAUUCAUACAAUCAGAAACCGAAUUAUAUAAAUUAUGAAUUCUUACAAAUCAUACAAAUUUAUACAAAUCAGAUGAAUAGCAAGAAUUGGGGUAACUAUAGCUGCAAAUUACAAUUUUCUUAAACUGUAGCUAUAGUACCUAAUAUAGGCUAAAUAUUUGUUAUUCUGCAUAAUUUUCCCGUUUAUAUAUGUUAGUUUGACUUGGUACGAAUUUUAUGAAUGAAAAAAAGACUUUUAAAUUUUUUGAUCUAAAUAAGUGACAAAUACUUGUGUGGUUAUAAAUUAUUUCGUUAAGGAUAAAAUUGACAUUUUAAAGUUAAAUUAUUAUUACUUGAUAUAGAAAUAUCAAUUUAUUUUAGACAAGGAAUUAUUAUUUAUUUAUUAAGCAAUAAAUAUCAUCACUGUGGACGUGGCAGAAUCUGCUUUACAUCCAUAACAGCUACUAUGAUGGACGCGAAUCCACCAUAUCUUAUCCCUCUUUCCUUCGCUUUCGUCUCCAUUACUUACCACGUCAGCACAUACAUCCAAAUUAGAGUUCCCUUGGGACCACACAAGGAUUAUUCCCUACAGAAAUCAUCGCCUCCUUUACGGGUCCCAUUCCACGUAUUAUCUCAUUAUCAAUUUACUCAAUUACCCCAAUAUCACUUUAAAUAACCAAACUAUCCUCAGGAUCUUGUUUAUAAAUUUCAUCCCCCUCUCUUCAUUACUAUCUCGUGUUUUAUCUUCUAAUUCUCAAUUUCACACACUUCUAGAGAGAAAUAGAGUGAUUCUGUAGUUUUUCUUCUCUUUUGUGGUCUAUUUUUGAUUUUUUGGAAAAUGUUGGGUGUUUUUAGCAGUUCCAUUGUUUCUCCGCCCGAAGAGCUCGUCGCCGCCGGUAGCCGGACUCCUUCACCUAAGAUCACGUCGGAUGCUCUGGUGAACCGGUUUGUUCAAAGAAAUUCAUCGGCGAUUUCUAUGCAGAUCGGCGAUUUUGUCCAACUCGCUUACUCUCACUCCAACGAGUCUGCUGUACUCCCCAGGUACAGCAACUAAGAACUAAAAGAAGUGAUGUAACUGAUUUAUGAACUUAAUUUUAGCUGCGUUUUAAGUUUAAUUUCUAAAUUGAAAAGUUGAACAGAAAUUUGGUGAGGUAGAAUUUCAGCUCUGGUAAAGUGAUCUGAAACGUUGUUUAUCUUGUGGGAUAUGUGAUUGACGGUUCAGAUUAUUACACGAUUUGAUGGAUGUGACAUCAUGGCUUAGGAAUAUCAUGCAUGAUGCAUGAAUUUCCUAAUUCAUCCACUAAAUAGAGUUAUAUUGCUCUGCUUUUCGUUUUGAUUAAUCGAAAACUUCACUCCAAGUCAAAUUAGCAAGGAGUAUCAUGAGUCCUGUGACCUUUAAUCUGUCUAUGAGUAAUAUAUUAAAAUAAAAAUGAUAAAGCUAAUACGAUCUCAUACACCGACUAUUUUAAUUAAUUUGAAUAGUAUCACUUUUCCAGAAAAACCGAAUACAGUAUACUUUUAACAAUCCAAACAAUUUUUUUUAGCAAAGUGAGUGUCGUCAAUUUGAAGUCAAAUGGGAAAACUGGUUGUCCUCUUUUGGAUGAAUCCAACAGAUGACGAAACAGAUGAGAGAAGCAAAAUAAACGGUUAUUAUUGCACAAUAGUGGUAUUAUUACUAUUAUUAUUAAUCCUAAACUUUGUAGGUUGUUCUCGAAGUUCCUUUAGAGCUCAUCUAGGUUUUAGAUCCAUAGACGUAGUCAUAUAGCACAAACGUCAAUAAUUAACAUCGAGGGAAGAUUUUUCCAACAUCAAGCUCAAAGCUUAUAACUUUGGGCCAACUGGUUAAAAUUGUAAUGGGGAAAACUGACACGUGUGAUAUGAACCUUGGCCGAAUAAGUUCGCUAGGAUGGUGCUCAGAUUAACACAAAUAAAAGAAGAAAAAAGCCCUAUUGCCCUGAUCAUGCCUCGAAGAAGGAGUAUGGGGAGAUAUAAUAUUUGAGUAUACUAGUUUAUUAGUGAUAUAUUAAAAUAAUAAUUUAUCAGUUCAAGAACUUGCUGUUGGACACUGAAUCCAUCUAUAGUUAUGCUGCCUUGACAAGAGGCUCUUUUUAUUCCUCCAGUUAAUUUUGUUUCUCUUUUUUUUUUUCUUUUUUUUUUUCUUUUUUUUUUUUUGUGAUGGGGUGGGAGGGGUAUUUUUCUAUUCCUUACUACCUAAAAAACACUAGAAUUAGCUAUGAGCUUUGUCGUUAUUUCGUCGCUAUUUUGUUCGUAGCUAACGAAAAUCUGUGACUGAUUUGUUGCUAAGUAGAAUAGCGAAGAAUUUUGUUGUUUAGCUACAAAAUUUGUCUAUCACUAAAUUCAGUUUUUUUUAGUAGCUAGUUUAUUUUUGUUUCUCCUUUCUUCUUUGUGGUUUGGAGGGGCUUGCUGAUUUAGGUCCCUCCCCUCUCCCCACAACCAAAUUGGUCAGUUGGAUAGGAAAAUCUUUGGAAAAGAGUAGUGGACCAGUAGUUGGGAAAUGCUAGUCAAUGUUCUGCUUACAUAAAAAUGAACUGGAUUGUUGGCAAUAAGUUAGGAAUUGACUAGUACGAGAAGUUGUAAGGUUUUUUAAGAAGCAAAUUGUAGAACACUUAUUGGUGGAAUUCAUCCUCUAUAAGUGCCUUCGAGAAUUGCUGCAGGGGAGGGGAUCUGGGUAGUUGGAGACUUUAAAAUCUAUUUACUAUAAUUAACACUAAUUGCUUUCUCUGUACGGUGGUCCCUUUGGUGAUUAAGCAAGUUUCCUAGCUAGUUGACAACAUGGGUUGUGGUGCACUGGUGGGAGUGCUUCACCCUUAACCAGAGGUCUCGGGUUCAAGUUCUGAAUAUGGAGAAAAUCUUGUUGGGAGCGCCACUCCCGAAUGGGCCCUGCAGAGCGCGAUCCAGAUUUAGUUGGAGCUUCAAUGUGGACUCCGGACACUGGUUUGGAAACCAAACCAAAAAAAGUUUCCUAGCUAGUUGUUAAUUGAAAGGGAAGCCUUUUAUCGGUAUUUAUUAUUUUAAUCACCCCUGAGUAUGAAAAGUUUGCUUAUUCCUACCACUUGAAAUUAAAGAAGUUUGUAUGCAGAGUCGUUUUAUUUAUCCCUUGAUAAGGAUCAUAUUUGAGUUACAACUGUAAACUUGUUUUGAUAAUAGUAAUAGAUUCUGUAGCGUAGAUUUUGUGUUAAAGUAUUGACUUGUAGGAUUAACUUCUUGGGGAAAUGGCAGGUCAUUUGCUGUUAAGGAUGACAUAUUUUGCUUGUUUGAGGGAUCACUUGACAACUUAGGGAGUCUGAGGCAACAAUAUGGCCUUGCCAAGUCUGCAAAUGAGGUGAUGCUGGUGAUUGAAGCAUACAAGGCACUUCGGGACAGAGCACCUUACCCUCCAAAUCAUGUUGUUGGUCACCUUGAAGGCAAUUUUGCUUUCAUUGUUUUUGACAAGUCUACUUCCACCUUGUUUGUAGCUACCGUAAGUAAUUUUUACCUACCCAAAUUGCCUUGUUGUUGGAGUGGUUGAAUUUCGAUCCUUAGUUUCUUACCUAUAAUAUUAUAUAUUGGAUUCUUGUAAACAGGAUCAAGUUGGUAAGGUACCCCUCUACUGGGGAAUCACUGCUGAUGGGUAUGUGGCCUUUGCCAAUGAUGCUGAUUUGCUUAAAGGUGCUUGUGGCAAGUCACUUGCUUCUUUUCCUCAAGGUAGGUUUGACAAAUUACUCUCCCUUUGGUGAUCUGGGGAUAACUAUUGAAGUAAUUAUGACCAAAUUAACAUGUAUGUAAAUAAAUAAUUCAGUAAGUGACAUUCACUGUCCAACCAGAACACUAACAAAUAAUUCAACAUCUUUUGUUUGCUUUUUCAGGGUGUUUCUACUCUACAACAGUUGGUGGACUGAGAAGCUAUGAGAACCCCAAAAACAAGAUCACCGCCGUUCCUGCUACUGAGGAAGAAAUAUGGGGCGCUAAGUUUAUGGUAGGUGAUGUUUUAAUAGCUUAUCGACCUAUUACUGUGAAUAAAACUGUUCAAAUAAAAAUCCUUAUUAGAACUUGAUAUGAUGACCUUAAAGAGAUGAGGACAACCAGACCUGUAAAUUCUUCCUAAAAAAUUUCAGUCUCCCUCAUUCCACGCAAUCUGAUGCAAAUUUUCAACAUGAUCAAUAAGUUGGCAUAACGGCAACGUUGACAUCACUACCAUCCAUGGUGGAUAUAUAUUGAAUUUUUGGCCAUAAAUUUAGUGUUUAUCAAAAAACUAAAAAUAAUUUUUUCAAGUAUUGAAUUAUUUCACAGUAUGCUGAGGACAACCACAUUUGAUAUUGAAUGGACUUAUUCGUCAACGAUCAUCACUAAUUUAAAGCAAGUGUCUGUAUCACGUUAAUGAAUUUCCAUCUCUCACUCAAUGCACCUGCCUAUUGAGUGGCUUAGUUUUGUCAAAUAAAACACAAACCUUCAGGAAGUGGACCCUAAUUAUGUGAUGCAACUUGAUAAGAUAAAAACUUUUACUAUAUCUUUACUUAAGAAAUAUCAGAGCAAGUAAAUUCAGAUUGAGACAUUUAACAUCAAUUAUAGUACUAACUUUUUUACUGGUCCCAACUUGUAACAUCUACCUAUCCGUGAAUAAAGUUGUUCAUAUCAAUAAUCUUAUCGAAACUUGAUGUAAUAACCACAAAGAGAAAAGGACAACCAGACUUCUAUUUAUGGUUAUUGGUGGAACCAUGAAAGCCCACUAGCCUCUUUCUUUGCUAUAUACGCCCGCCCUAGCAUGUAGUGGUUGUAUAUGAAUACAAUUCAACUUAGUGGUUGAUAUUCACAUAGAACCACAUAUGAAAUCGAUGGUGGCAGAUAGCGUAUCUCUAUUUGAACUAUGCAUAUAAAACGUCAAAUUUUUUCAUCCAAAAUGCAUAUAUUUGUACGUAUUUACAUUAUAUCGUCCCACGCAUGAUCAUUUCCGAACUACAUGUUCUUGUAUUCACUGGUGCUGAUGUUAACGGGGGCCUACUGAUGAAAUUUCAGGUGGAAGGUUCAGCUGUUGUUGCAGCCACUGAAUAGAAGAUUUCGGUUUUCCUCUUUGAGCUCUGAGGGAAAAACAAGGCCGUGAGUAUUAGUGGGGGAGCCAUGUACAUAAAGUGAACGACUACUGUUUUCUCUUCCUAGUAAUUCUGAAGUUCUACUUUUGUGCUGCUUAGGGUAGAGUUAGGUUGAAAGUAUGAUGUUUGGUUUCUUCUAAGGUAUUUUAACUACUAAAAUCAAUGUACACCUUUCUUUCAGCUCAAUAAUGUUUGUAAUAGUAUGUAAAUAUGAACAAUGAAGAACCUGUUCAUGCAAUUUCUUUCUUUACUCACCCUUGAUUGCAAUUUCCAACAAAUUCGAAAAUGUGCGAUUAAAUUAAAAUUUCUUACCCAAAAUAACCAACUAUUAUAUAUAUUACAAAAAAAAUGGCCAUUCGGUCUUUACUAUUACACGCAAAGGGCAGACAAGCAGCUCCUUGUUUUAUUGUUAAAUUGGCAAUUCAUGAAUAUCUUCAACCUAUUCAUAUCUGAAGUCUCUACAAGUGUACUCCCUUUUGAUUCAUGUUACCUACUUCUAUACUCUAAUAGUAGUACAAUCUAUAAACUUCUAUUAUUAUAUAACUAAUCAUCUUUUCUUACAAGUUUUUUUUAAAGAUCUUAGAAUUCAUUUUGUUUCGAAUUUCAAAUUUCGACGUGUCGCCGGUGCGAUUCGUUUUGAGUAAAUAAUAUAUCAAAAAUUUAAAAUAUUGAGAGGAACUCAUAUCUAGAUUUGGGACUGUCUUAGAGGAGAUUUGAGUUGGUUGGAACUGGAAAAAAAAAUUUGAUUUGAAAUGUAUAAAUAAUGUAUAUACAUCUCCUAUAUAUAGUUAGUUAUACAUCAUCUAUAUAUAAGUAUACACUAUUUAUAUAUAUAUAUAUAUAGUCUUGGGUGCAGCUGGUAAAGACGUCGGUUUAACAACAAAAUUAAGUACCCAAUAUCACACAAUUUUUAUUAGGAGAAUAAUUUUAUGUGGUUUAAAUUUGAGUGAGUAGUAUAUGGUGAUAGAAUAAUAACAAUAACCAUUGUGUUUGCUAGCUCAUUUCAGUCAUCAAGAUAGUUAUAUUUUAAUUUAUGUAUGUAUGAAACUAAAAAUUGAAACACGCGAACUAUAAUAACCAGUCCAGUCGUUAUGGGCGGUUAGAGCCAUAGUCAUACCUUUGCAGCUCUUGAACCUACAAAGACUAUUCUUUAUCAAAUUGACGACUAUUUUUCAAUUUUUUUUGGGGAAAGAGAGACGGUAAGAACAAACAUCAUUGGUCUUCAUGGAAAAAUAUGUGUUAUCCUACUGAAGAAGGUGGUUUGGGCUUUAAAAGACUUUAUGACAUUUGCAAGGCCUUCAGUGCCAAGAGAUGGUGGAGGAUGAAGACCAUGAAUAACUUGUGGUCCAACUUUAUGAAGGCCAAAUAUUGUCCUAGAACCAAUAUGGUGGCCAAAGUUAUUAACUCAAAAAAUUUCAAUGCUUGGAGAAAUUUGCUUUAUAUUAGGCCAAUUGUGGAACAAAGUAUCAAAUGGAAAAUCAACGAAGGUAGUGCAUAUUUCUGGUGGGAUAACUGGCCUAAUAAGGGUCCUUUAGCCAAUAGAGUCCGAUUACAAAGAAAACCUGGCAGCAACACGGUGAGACAAUUUCUCCAAGGCAAUCGAUGAGAUCGAGACUCUCUUAGGCUGUUUCUUCCUGAGAAUCUGGCGCAAGAAGUGGUUCAGAUUGAUAUUGGAGAUAUGAGAGAUAGCGACAAGUGCAUAUGGACCCUAAAUUCAACUGGAAAUUUCUCAUGCUCAUCGACCUGAAACUUUAUUAGACAGAAAAAACAAAAAGAACCUAUGUAUAAUCAGAUUUGGGGAAAAGAAAUUCCAUUUAAAGUUUCGUUCUUUAUGUGGAGAGUUCUGAAAAGAAAUCUUCCCAUUGAUAGUAUUAUCAAAAGUUUUGGUAUUCAAAUGGACACGAGGUGCUCCUGUUGUAGGGAUACUCAACUAGAGACUCUUGAUCACUACUAGUGAUUUGGCCAUUAAAGUCUGGAACUAUGUGACUAGACCACUUGGUAUUACUCAUAAUGCCCAUAUUGUGCAGGGGGUUCUUGAUUAUUGGUGGCAAACAAACGCUAGGAAUGAAGUACACAAGAUGCUCCUACACGUAACACCAUUUUUUACCUUGUGGGAAAUCUGAAAAACAAGGAAUGCCAAGAGGUAUGACGGUAAAAAUAUCUCUCUGUUCAGAAUAAUUAACCAAAUUUUAUUUAAUGUGCAGGUGGCUAUUUCCAAAAAAUACAGCAAGAUGGACAGUAAAUGGGGAUGGAGUACUAUAUGCUUGAUUGCUGAAAAUUAUAAACCAAGAAUCACUAGCAUCGUGGUCUAUUGGACAAGACCUCAAGGAAAUAUAUGGAAAUUGAAUACAGAUGAUAGCUGGACAAAGAUUGGCUGGAAUAGGAGGAAUCGUUAGGGAAAAAAAUGGAAAGAUGGUCAUGGCUUUUGCUAAAUCUACCCAAUUUUCUACUAACAACUCUUGUGAAUUGCAGGCAGCUUUACAUGGGAUUGAAUGGUGCCAUGACAACUCAAAAUCUCACAUAAUUUUGGAGAUGGAUAGUCAAAUAGCAGUGAAUAUGAUUAAAGGAUUGACUCCAACGCCUUGGACUCUAAGGAAAACAGUGAGAAAAAUCCAAAAGAAGAUACAAAAUAUGAAUUGCGAGAUCAUCCAUUGCUUCAGGGAGGCAAAUUGUGUAGCUGACGCUCUUGCAAGACAUGCCACUACGAGGGACAUGGAUUACAUCUUCUCAAAGGAAGAAGACAUGCCUGACUCAACUGUAAGACCAAUGAGAAUGGACAGACUCAAUCUUGCUUCAUCUAGGUUCAAAAAAGAAAAACACUCGGGGAUGGCACUACGAACCACCUUGAAUGAUAGUAAGGGAAGGCAUAAUCCUAUUUUGUUGAUAGAAAAUGCCUUCCCUUCAGGAAACUCUCAUAGGAGAGUCUUUACUUUCUUUGAGUAGAUUUCCUUUUUUGGUGUUAUUUGGGAUGAGGUUUAGGCGAUAUGUCCCCCUCUCUCUCUUGUAAGUGAUCUUAGUAAUAAAAAAAAGUGGUAAUUAUAGCAAAUUAUAACUAUGAUGAUUAAUUAAGUAGUAUAAAUUUGUUUAACAACGUAAUUUUUAAUUCUUUUUGUUGAAAUGUAUGCGUCCACUUAUCAGUCAAGGAUCAGGUCCCUUGACUCAGCAAGAACAGUAACUAAAAGUAAGCGUCCACUUGUUUCGAUGGGACCAGGUCCUCAACACAGUUACAAUAACAGACAGUUAAAUAAGUGCUGAAAGUAAAGUGUCAACAAACAACUUUACGUGGAAACCUCCUUGCUCAAGAAAGUAAAACCACGACCUGGCCUGCCUGGACUUUUCAGCUGUUUUCACUAAUCUUCCUUAAGCAAAAGCGAACAACAGUUACAACCAACGUGAGAAGAAGUUAUUAAUCUCACAACUAAGUAAUAACUCUAUUACUUAAUGAGCCUAAGCAGAUACUACACUGACCACUAAGCUAUCACCACUAGACAACUUAGGAUUUGACUAAGCAACACGCAAGUUGCCCACUAAACCACCACGCUCCGGAUGACUUAGAAUUUGACUAAGCAACAAACAAUGUUACCCACUAAAUCAGUUAGACUCAACUGAUUUAGACUUUUACAACGAACACAAGAUCUGAAUCCUUUAUAGAUUAGGAACAAAUUUACAAUGAAAGUACAGAAGAUAUAAUCCAAAGACAACUAGACAACUUCAGCUCUGUCAGGUCCUUAUUGCUCUUGAGGAUGAUUCUUCACCUUUUGUUAGCCUUUGCAAGAGUUCUUGAGAAUUUUCAAGUUGCAAAAACUUAUAAAAUGAUAGACACAAAACUCAAACUCAACAAAGAUGCUUCAGCACUUUAUCAGAUCCUUUUGUUGAGUAUGAGUAUUGUUCUAUCUUGAAGAUGACUUUUUUUCUUUUUAAGCUUGUGUGUUUUUGUUUGCCAAAAUCUUGAGUUUGUGUAUUUUGGAAAGAGAUGAUAUAAAUCAACACAAACUCGUUGAGACAAUCCUAUUGGCUGAGAGCCUGCUGGUCUGAAAAGUUAUGCACCUACUAGCAGCUUUUUCCGACGGACUGUCUUGUCACCUUUUCAUAUCGCAGUCUUGCAGGGACCAGGUCCCUUGCAAACUUCUUUGUGAACUGUUGAAAAGGCUUGCUAGCUUUCUCUCUUCUUGAAUGGAUAAUGUUGUUUGUUUAUUGUUAUAUAUAUCAGUUACCAACACGGGUUUUAACCACUUAAACAAACAACUCCAUCCGCCCUUCCAAUUGGUGAAGUACGCUGCACAUCUCACCAACCAACCUGACAAGACAACUGUAAAGAUAGCUUUACAGCUAUGCACCACUUUGAGUUUGGACGGAGGUACUCUUCCAAGGACCAGGUCCCUGAAUUUGUGAGGAUCAUCAAAACACCUAGAAUAUAACAUUUUCCCCUUUUUUGAUGAACACACACAAAUAAUCCUCAUGUUGAGUUUAUUCAUUCAUUACCCCUUUCAUCAGUCUCAAUACCAGAGGACCCUUCUCCCUGGAUCUAGUCCCUUGUUAGACUCUGCAUUUGUGAGGAUCAUCAAAACAGCUAGAAUAUAACAUUUUCCCCAUUUUUGAUGAUGACACACAAAUAUUCCUCACACUGAGUUUAUUCAUUUAUUUGCCCUGUCGUCAAUCCUAAUAACAAGGAUCUGGUCCCUUGUUAGAUCCCUCAGUCUUCUUCCCCCUUUCAACAGUUCCCUCUAUCAGCAUGCCUCUUGAGGUAAGUGGAGUGGUCCCUUUUUUGCAUCAUUCCCGAAGUUUGUCAAAUCAUCAAAACAUCUUGAUAGCAUUUCCCCCCUUUUUGAUGAUGACAAACAUCUUGUUCCUCCUAUCGGGAGGACCAGGUCCUCUUCAAGUAGCUAGCAUUUGUUCCCCCUAUCGGCAUGAUCAUGUCUCUCUACAAGUAGCUAGCAUGUGUUCCCCCUAACAUCAUUGAUCUCAUACCUUAACAAUUUUUCUCUCUUUUGACAUCAUAAAAAAAGGGUUAAAGCAGUAAACCAAGUUGACAGAGAUGCAAUUCAAGCAAAUUCAUGGCCACUUGGGCAACACUAAGCAUGAGUAAAAAAUGCAUAAAGUAAUGAGACAAGUCAGUAGAAACAAGACAUUUUUCAUCCAUAAAUAAAAGAUCAGCCAUCAAAGCAUUGCAAAUAUGAUUACAAAUGAAAACCAGAACAAUGCCCAGAAAAAGGGAAUGAGGACUGACAUAGAGAGUUAGGAAGAGAUGGGAUGACCUAGAGGCAAGGGAUUAAAAGAAAGAAUUAAUAGAGCAUAUCCCUUAGCAUGGUAUUUGUAGAAGCCUCUCUUGAAGUUCACAUUCUUUGUUGCCUAACCUUCAUAUUGAACCUUUGGGGCUGCCAGUUUUUUUUUUUUUAACAACCUGGGUCCCCUCUGAUAGUGCUGUUUCAGAAGUUGAGUCUUUAGGCACACUAUUUCAGUAUCCUUGUUAGCAAGAGCAACUAUCAUAGUAUCCAAUGCAAGCCUGAGUUUCUCAUGACAAACAGAUUGAUGAAGUCAAACUUACUCAAGGCCUUCGAGAUGAAUAGAACAAUAAUAGAGAAACCAUUUUUUUCAUUUUUUUUUAUUAUCAGACACCCUCUUAUUCAGAAUACUUUUAGUUCUCAGAAUAUCAACUUCUCCCUCUUUGAACAUCUUCUUUUCCACUUCUUUCUUUUGCAUUGUGGACCUGGUCCUCUUCACACUUAAAACAUCUUCAUCAGAAAAUUUUCGAGUAAGAACAAAGAGUUUAACAAUUGGAAGUGUUUUUGAGUGAGGAGAAAAUAGGGUUUCGGGAAACUCUGAUAUUUGGAAGGGAAAUUGAUUAUCUGUGGUAUUUGGAAAGAAAUAUGGAAUAUAAAGAAAGUGAAAUGAUGUAUUACAUGAAAGAAAGUGUCAUUUUGGUAUUCAAAAGAUGAGACAACGGUCAGAUACCUGAAUGACAGACUUGUGGCAAUUGCAACGGUUCUCAUGCAUAAUAACUACAAUGUUAAGAGUGCUAACCUUCGAGAACGGACCAGGUCCCUCUCUUAGUUUGAAUGUGAUUGCCUAGAUCUGUCUUGACCUCUCUUUUCCUUCAGCCCUUUUCCAUGUGUGUAUACCUACAAAAGGUAUGAGACUGCAUUUGCUAAAACAUACAUAACUGAAAAACAAGGAUUCCUGCUCCCUUUGCAUAGUCAUGAGAGAGUUGAUUUCUUUAGGCAGGAUCCAUUCAAGAAGGUUUCAGCAUUCCCAAUCAUCAGUUUGAUUAUCUCAGCCAGGUCUUCUAAGAGCUUCAAGAUGCUGCUUGAUCCACAAACGUUGAACCCAUCAAGCUGCACUUGCUACAUCAUUCUAUACCUCAGUUGAUGAAAGAGCAACUGAAUCUUGCCUUUUAGUUCCCCAUGAGCGAGAGAUCAGCCUAUAGCAUAAGCCACUCCUGAGGCACUCUUUCCAUCAACUUGAUACCCAGCAUAAUCAGCAUCACCAUAUAUUCCAAAUCAAAAAGUCUCCUGAUGAGCAGAAUAGAACCAGGUCCCUGUCUUCUUCAAUUAUCUUAGGAUUCUCUGAGCAGCCUUCAAAUGUGAUUCCGUUGGAUAAUCUUGGAAUCUUGAAUAAAUCCUAACACUUGACACUUGCAUCAUUUACAUCUAGACCAGAUCUAUCCACAUCCAACUUCGAGUUGGUCCCCAUGAGAGUAUCAAUUGACUUGGCAUCCAUAAUAUGAAACUUCUUCAGUAACUUCUCUGAGCUGGUACCAGGUCCCUAUCUUAGCAACCCUUUAUGAUGACAUUACCCCUUUUUAGCAUUGUCUUGACUUCAAGAACUUUAAGCCUUUGAACAGCUCCUUGAUGAACUUUUCUUGACAAAAAAGGGUACCUUUAGAGGUUUGCUGAAUUUGUAGCUCUAAGAAGAAAUCUCCCAUCAUGCUCAUUUAGAACUCACUCUUUUAAAGCCAUUGUUGAUGAGGAACUUGGACAACCUAUCAGCUUGUUGGGAACCGAGUGUCAUACUUUACUUCUUUCAAACUGAGCUUGAUCAGCUUCUUCAUUCUCACCUUCAGAAUUCACAUUAUCAGUUUGAACUGCAUCAUCCUUGUUCAGCACUGCCUACAGGACCGGUUCCCUCAUCAGGUUCAUAAUCUGCAUCAGUUUCCUUGAGAUUGCUGGAUUCAUGAAGAGGAUAUUCUUCAGCAAGCUCACUGUUUAGACCAUCUCUCUGAAUCUGAAUCAACCCUUCCAUCUCAGAAUCAUCUAUCUUUUGCAUCUUCUCAACUCUUCCACACUCAUCAAAAAUCACAUGAGCAAUCUUAGGAUUCUCUGAGCAGCCUUCAAAUGUGAUUCCGUUGGAUAAUCUUGGAAUCUUGAAUAAAUCCUAACACUUGACACUUGCAUCAUUUACAUCUAGACCAGAUCUAUCCACAUCCAACUUCGAGUUGGUCCCCAUGAGAGUAUCAAUUGACUUGGCAUCCAUAAUAUGAAACUUCUUCAGUAACUUCUCUGAGCUGGUACCAGGUCCCUAUCUUAGCAACCCUUUAUGAUGACAUUACCCCUUUUUAGCAUUGUCUUGACUUCAAGAACUUUAAGCCUUUGAACAGCUCCUUGAUGAACUUUUCUUGACAAAAAAGGGUACCUUUAGAGGUUUGCUGAAUUUGUAGCUCUAAGAAGAAAUCUCCUAUCAUGCUCAUUUAGAACUCACUCUUUUGAAGCCAUUGUUGAUGAGGAAGUUGGACAACCUUAGCUUGUUGGGAGCCGAGUGUCAUACUUUGUUUCUUUCAAACUGAGCUUGAUCAGCUUCUUCAUUUUCACCUUCAGAAUUCACAUUAUCAGUUUGAACUGCAUCAUCCUUGUUCAGCACUGCCUACAGGACCGGUUCCCUCAUCAGGUUCAUAAUCUGCAUCAGUUUCCUUGAGAUUGCUGGAUUCAUGAAGAGGAUAUUCUUCAGCAAGCUCACUGUUUAGACCAUCUCUCUGAAUCUGAAUCAACCCUUCCAUCUCAGAAUCAUCUUUCUUUUGCAACUUCUCAACUCUUCCACACUUAUCAAAAAUCACAUGAGCACCCUUUUAUACAGCAAAUAAGCCUUGUUGGAGGAAGAGUAUACUGCAACUAUUCUUUCAUCAAUAUUGAGCUCAAUAUCAUCCUUUUAGUCACACAACAUGUAGUAUUUACCACUUCAGCCGGAAGUUCUUUGGAAGAUUAAAAGCCUGCUUAUUCCACCUGAAGGAUAUUCUAAUCUGCUUCUCUUUAAUACCAGCGUUACAAACUUUGUCAUCUGUAAAUUUUAUUUUGAGCAGAUCGAGGACCAGGUCCCUUGACAUAAGUUUGUGCAGUAGAGAAACAUUCACAAGAGCCCGUUUCUUAUGUCAUACCUCAACAUUCUCACUUUGAGCACUAAGGCAAGUGAGACUGUCACUAUGAGCAGUAUUCAGAUCAACAAUAUACAUGUUCUUACAUCUCUUUUCAAUCAAGAUCAUCACCCGAGAAAGCAAGUUUGUGACCACACAUUUUAUGAUAUGAUUGCACCUUCAUUUCAUCCAUCACAUACAUGUGAAACACUUAAAAGAUUGUACUUCAACCAUUGACAUAGUACACAAUUUUAAUAGAGUGCUUCACAGAUUUUCAAGUCCUGCCUACACCAAGAAUGUACCGUUUCUUGCCAUUGCCAAAAGAGACACCUUCACCUUGAAGUGCCUUGAGAGAGAGGAAGUUUUGUAAUUUUCACAUUCAUGUGUUUUGAGCAUCCACUUAUUCAUAAACCACACUGACUGAUGCUACCUCCUCUCACUUGCAUAGCAAAUCACUUGUUAGCCUUGGGAACCCAUUUGAGACGGAGUUCCCAAUAAGCAGAUAACAGAAUGAUAAGAAAAUCUUUUGUCCAGUAAGGCAGAUUGGCUUUCUUCAACUUGGGACCAUGAGCAGCACCAGGUCCCUUCUUCAGUCUAUUCCACUGUUUGGAAUAGUUUGACGAACUUCCUCCAUACUUUUUCAACACAGGACAAUCUCUCAUAAGAUGUCCAUCUCGACCACAAUGCACACACAACAAAUCAUCAACAUCAGAAAUAGAUUUUCUGUGAGGAUUGUAUGGGGGAUCUAUCUUUUCACAGCCCAACCCUCUUCUACUGUUGUUGCCUUGACCAAUCAGAUUUGUAAGAAUCUUAGAGGAAUUGGUCCAUUUGAGGGAUUUUUCCAGUUCCUCUUUCACAUGGACCAAGUCCCUCUCCAACUCAAGAUUUCUUUCCAAAGCCAAUUUCAUCUUCAUUUCAGCAGUAUGCAGCUUAUUUUCAAGCUCCAACUGCAUAUUGUUGGCUUCGUUCUUUCCUUUAAAAACUGUAGUAGUCGCCCUUUUUAUCUUUUCAUUCAGUUCUAAAGUUUCAGCUUCUAGAACAACCAUUUGACUUUCAAUAUUAGAUAUUUGGGCAACUGAAGCAAUUUUUUCAUCUUGAGAGAUGUCUAGGCUAUUGUUUACGAGAUAUUUCUCAGUUGUCAGCUCACUUAUCAAAUCAAGUAAUACAACAACUAGCUUUCUCAAUUUACUAGUAGAAAAGGUAUUCAAGUUUUGCUUGAAAUCUGAUAGAGUUACCUUUUCAUCAGCAUCUUUCUCAUAUGACUUUUCCAUGAAAGCAUCAUCUGAGAGUUCAGAAUCAUCUGAAUCACUUGAGGAAUUUUCCCAUGUUGCCAGAUCCUUCUUCACCGCCUGGAAAAAAACUUCUCUUCUGCUUAUCUUGGGGCGGACCUCGUCCCAUUAUUUGUCUUUUACUUCCUUAUGGUCAGCUUCAUGCAUAGGACAGUCUCUCAUGGAGUGACUUUGUGACACCUUAGAAGCUAGCGAUUCAUCCCUUACUGCAUCUCUCUUCUGAUCAGCAUCACCAGUCAGAUCUGCCCCUAUGUCUUCACCUUUGAAAAUGAGACCCUUACCUUUUCUAUGCAUCUCAUGAACUUGAAGAUGAUUAAAUAGUGCAUUUAGAGUCGCCUCUUCAGGAUCCAUUGUCUCAUCAACAAACACAAAUUCAUUUGUCCAAGAUCUGGGAAGAAUUUCCAAUAUCUUAGAGACUUAUUUGCACACCGGGACAGGUUCAUCAAGAAGCAUGAGCUCAUUGGUGAUAGUAGAGAAUCUGGUAUGCAUUUCAUGAAUAGAUUCACCUUUUUUUAUGGUGAAGCUCUCAUACUGAGUAGUAAAGAGAUCUAACUUAGAUUUAUUUGUUUCCUCAGUAUCCUCAUAAGUUGUUCUCAACAGAUCCCAGAUUUCCUUGGUUGAUUCACAAAAUGAGAUCAGAUCGUAUUCAUUUACACUAAGGCCACACAUCAGUAGCUUCCUUGCUUUGUGAUUUUUCUGGACUAAUGGUCUGUCAGAGUCAUUAUGUUAUUAUCGAGUUUUGGGAAUGACUCUUGUGACCUCUCCAUCUUUAACCUCCAUAGUUGCCACAUAAGGACCUUUACAUAUGACGUCCCAUGCUUCUUUGUCCUCAACCAUGAGAUAGUCUCUCAUCUGAAUCCUCCAAUAUCUAUAGAACUGACCAUCAAGAAGAGAAGGUCUUGUGGAGGACUGACUUCUUUGCUGAUUCUAUGGUGACGUCAUUCCUCGCAUGAACUUCUCUCUUGGUGUUAACCAGAUAGAGAGCUCAGGCUUUGAUACCACUUGUUGGAAUGUAUGCAUCCACUUAUCAGUCAAGGAUCAGGUCCCUUGACUCAGCAAGAACAGUAACUAAAAGUAAGCGUCCACUUGUUUCGAUGGGACCAUGUCCUCAGCACAGUUACAAUAACAGACAGUUAAAUAAGUGCUGAAAGUAAAGUGUCAACAAACAACUUUACGUGGAAACCUCCUUGCUCAAGGAAGUAAAACCACGACCUGACCUGCUAGGACUUUUCAACUGUUUUCACUAAUCUUCCUUAAGCAAAAGCGAACAACAGUUACAACCAACGUGAGAAGAAGUUAUUAAUCUCACAACUAAGUAAUAACUCUAUUACUUAAUGAGCCUAAGCAGAUACUACACUGCCCACUAAGCUAUCACCACUAGACAACUUAGGAUUUGACUGCAACACGCAGGUUGCCCACUAAACCACCACGCUCCGGAUGACUUAGAAUUUGACUAAGCAACAAACAAUGUUACCCACUAAAUCAGUUAGACUCAACUGAUUUAGACUUUUACAACGAACACAAGAUCUGAAUCCUUUAUAGAUUAGGAACAGAUUUACAAUGAAAGUACAAAAGAUAUAAUCCUAAGACAACUUCAGCUCUGUCAGGUCCUUGUUGCUCUUGAGGAUGAUUCUUCACCUUUUGUUAGCCUUUGCAAGAGUUCUUGAGAAUUUUCAAGUUGCAAAAACUUAUAAAAUGAUAGACACAAAACUCAAACUCAACAAAGAUGCUUCAGCACUUUAUCAGAUCCUUUUGUUGAGUAUGAGUAUUGUUCUAUCUUGAAGAUGGCUUUUUUUUCUUUUUAAGCUUGUGUGUUUUUGUUUGCCAAAAUCUUGAGUUUGUGUAUUUUGGAAAGAGAUGAUAUAAAUCAACACAAACUCGUUGAGACAAUCCUAUUGGCUGAGAGCCUGCUGGUGUGAAAAGUUGUGCACCUACCAGCAGCUUUUUCUGACGGACUGUCUUGUCACCUUUUCAUAUCGCAGUCUUGCAGGGACCAGGUCCCUUGCAAACUUCUUUGUGAACUGUUGAAAAGGCUUGCUAGCUUUCUCUCUUCUUGAAUGGAUAACGUUGUUUGUUUAUUGUUGUAUAUAUCAGUUACCAACACGGGUUUUAACCACUUAAACAAACAACUCCAUCCGCCCUUCCUAUUGGUGAAGUACGCUGCACAUCUCACCAACCAAUCUGACAAGACAACUGUAAAGAUAGCUUUACAGCUAUGCACCACUUUGAGUUUGGACGGAGGUACUCUUCCAAGGACCAGGUCACUGAAUUUGCGAGGAUCAUCAAAACACCUAGAAUAUAACACUUUUCCUCGUAACCAAGAAAACAUGAUUCACAUGUCUAUGUAAGGUCUAAGGCUAUUUUUGGUUUUCCAAUAUAAGUCUUCUCUGUCAAUACUAUCAUCUAUUGAUCAACUAACAUCCUAAAACUGAAUGGGGUAGUCUAAAUGGUGAAUUAUGGCUUAGAAUCACUGAAUUAUGAAUAUGAUAGGAAACAUAUAGGUUGAUGUAAUUAGCCUGCAUUUUGAUUCUAUGUUGUUUAGUACACGCUUUUAGGAGGGAAUUGAUGGUCUAAGAAAAAACAAUUUAAUGGCUAGUUUUUCAAAAUAUUUAAAUAUAUAUUGAAUAUUAAAUGGUGCUAUGUAUAAGAUUCCUUUUUCACGUCUUAUAGAAGCAUAUUAUUAUUUUUUCAUAUUUUAAAAGAAACUAUAUUUAGUAGAAAUUUUGUGCUCCUUUCAAAUAUAUUAAAUACAAAAUUCUUCAUAAAUUUGUUGUUAUUAUCCGAUGCUUAGCAACCUGUCAAUCGAGUCACAAUGAAAUUUUUUCAGAAUUAAUUGAGAUAAAUCAAUUUGAUAUAAUUAUAUAAAAUAUUGAUAAAUUUGUUUAGCGACAUUGAAUGUAGACAUUGUAGACAUGCAAGGCUAAUUUGAUCAAUUUUGAAUUUAGAUGCUUAGAACAUUGUCAUAUCACCAUCCACACUCCCUGGACAAUGUUGUCCCUUUAAUUUAUACUAAUAUAUAUUAAUUAAAUAUUAAUAUAAUGUUUUUUUAUGUUACCCAAAAAAAAAAGAUAGAAAAAGUGUAUGUGGGGUUUUUUAAUUGUACUUACUACCUAGUAUAUGUGUGGAACAUCCACAGUGUGUGGUGGAGAAUUAUGAGAUUUACAAAAUCCUCCCUUAAAAUUUCCUCAAAAUUCAGGUUCUUGAUCCAUAUCAUAAGGCAAACAAAGAACAAUUUUUUUGUAAGUUCAAGACUAAAUUUGUGCGAACAAAUUUUAUUUAGACCGGACAACAAUUGAUACAAUAUAGAACUAUUAAUUGAAAUCCUGAACUAAAAACAUAACAAAUUGAUAUAACCACCUAAUCUCAACUUCUAAUGGAUGAUCUUAAUGCAACAUGACUUGCAUCAACGUUGGUCCCAUCAGAGAAACUGUGGAUGGAGCUACCAAAAGAAUACCAUUUCGUUUAAGCAAUUCAAAUACUCUAUUCUUGAUUUCUUUUGACCUAUUUUCCUUCUUCUUAGUAGCUCAAGAGGAUGAGAAAUGUGUUUUUUUUCUGAUGAGGAUCAAACGGCUUUUGUGUUGUUGUGUGUGUUUCUUGCCUAGAAUUGCACCCUAUUAUAGGAAAAAUUUAGAUUAUCUAAAUUUGUGAAUAGUUGAAUUAGCGAACUCUCAGUUGUCAAUACCAAUUAUUUUUACAUGAAACUAAAUUAGGGUGUAUUAAAUACCAAGUUAGAUAUUAUUAUCUUUAAAUAUGUGUAGUUUUUGACUUUGACCUUAUCUUGAUCAAUUUUUUUGGGUCAAACAUUUCUAAUUAGGAGAAUAAUUUAGUAUGAUUUAAAUCUAGGUAAGUAGUAUGCACAAAAUAUGGUCAUAAAAUAAUAACAAAACUUAUUUCAGUCAUGAAGAAAGUUAUUUUUGUUUGUAUAUUUAAAUUUAUCUAUGCUAGAAAUUAGAGAUUGAAACAAAUGAAUAUUUCAAAUAUUAACUAAAAUUUUGAAAUACUAAUUUCGACAAAUUUAAAUAUGCAUAAGAAUAAUGGCUAGUUUCUCAAAAAAUAAAAAUAUUUAAUGAAUAUUAAAUGGUGAUAUGUGUGUGAUUAUAGCUUUUCCUCUGCAUGUAGAAGUGCAUUAUUAAUUAUACUCUCCUAUUUUAAAAGAAACUAUAUUAGAUAGAAAUUUUAUGCUGCUUUCAAACACAUUAAAUACAAAAUCCUUCUUAUUGUCUACUUAGCAACUUGUCACUUGACUCACAUUUAAAUCUUUUCUAAAGUAAUUUUGAGAUAAAUCAAUUUGAUAUAAUUAUACAAAAUACUGGCAAAAACUGUGUUACACAUAGUGGCGAAACAAAAAGAAAAAAUAUUAUUAAUUUUAAGAAAAUUAUGAAAGUAGACGAGGAAUAUGCAACAUUGUCUUAUUAAUUUUUUAUAAAAUAAUUUUUUACAUUUAACUCUGAUUAUUCCUCCGUUUCUCAUAACUAAGUUAAAUAUUAAUCAUUUUGAGAUUCAUAUUUAAAUUUAUCUCUUUCUAGCUAACUUCUAAAUGUAAAACCAAAGAAGAAAAAAGAACGACAAUUCAUUGAGUUUAUGCUAUAUAUUUUAGUUUUAACAGUUAAAAGGUCACAAUAUUUCUUUGAUGUUUUCUUUCGUGACAUUGAAUACAAACAUAGUAGAAUCUACUUAUGCAAACAUUAGGAUUAAUUAUAAGGGUUCCUGUCAUCAGGAAUACCAUUUCGUUUCAACAAUUCAAACAUCCUAUUCUUGAUUUCUUUUGCUCUAUUUUCCUUCAUCUUAGUAGCUCAAGAGGAGGAGAAAUGUUUUUUUUUUCUCUUUCUGAUGAGGAUCAAAUGAUUUUAUAGUUGUUGUGUGUGUUUAUUGCCUAGAAUUGAGUCCUAUUUAUAGGAAAACUUUAGAUUAUCUAAAUUUGUGAAUAGAUGAAAUUAGUGAAUUCUUAGUUGUCAAUAUCAACUAUUUUGGCAAGAAACUAAAUGAGGGUGUAGUAGAUACCAAGUUAGAUCUUAUAAAAAAAAUAAAAAAAAUACCAAGUUAGAUAUUAUCAUCUUUAAAUAUAUGUUGUUUUGAGCUUUGACCUUAUCUUGACCAAUUUUUUUGGUCAAACAUUUCUAAUUAGGAGAAUAACUUGUAUGAUUUAAAUCUGGGUAUAAGUAGUAUCCACAAAAUAUGAUCAUAAAAUAAUAAUAACCAUUGUGUCUGCUUGCUCAUUUCACUCAUGGAGAAAGAUAUUUUUUUUGUAUAUUUAAAAUAUGUAUGCAUGAAAUUAGAAAUUGAAACAAGCGAACAUUUGAAAUAUUAACUGAAAAAUUUGAAAUAUCAAUUUCGAAAAAUUUAAAUAUGCAUCAGAAAUAUCAAUUUAAUGGCUAGAUUUUCAAAAAAUUAAAAUAUUUAUGGAAUAUUAAAUGGUGAUAUGUGUAUGAUUAUAGCCUUUUCACUACUUAUAGAAAAACAUUAUUAAUUAUAUUCUCCUAUUUUAAAAGAAACUAUAUUUAGUAGAAAUUUUAUGUUCCUUUCAAAUACAUUAAUCUUAAAUUUGUUAUUAUUUUCUACUUAGCAACCUGUCACUCGACUCACAUUGAAAUUUUUUCUAAAUUAAUUUUCAGAUAAAUCAAUUUAAUAUAAUUAUACAAUACACUGAAAAAAACUGUGUUUACACAUAGUGGGGAAACAAAAAGAAAAAUAUUAUUAAUUUUAAGAAAAUUGUUUAAGAAGAAGAGGAAUUUGUUGCAUAUUGUCAUAUAAAGUUUUUAUUAUAUGAUAUUUUACAUUUAACACUGAUGAGAUUUACUCCAUUUUUGAUAACCAAGUUAAAUUUUAAUCAUUUUGAAGUUUAUAUAUAUAUUUAUCUUGUCACGCCCCGAAGCUAUCCCCAAGACGCGGACACGGACCUAGGAUCACAAGUGACCCCAAGCUAACCCUGCUGGCAUAUCAUAAGCAUACUUAAAUAAACUGAAGUAAAGAAAUAUUGUGCGGAAGCUAAAUCAUAUGAAACAAAAUCUGAAUAUAUGAAACUAAGAGUCUAACAACAAAAGAAAAGUCAAACUCAAAUACUAAAGCUAAAACUAACUAUGUCUGACAUAAAGCCUCUACUGACUAGAAAUGUUAGGACAUCCCCCAGCUAGAUCUAGCAAAACUGAAACUAAAGCUAAAAGCAAGAAAGAUAAUCAUGUCAUUCGUCCUCGAAGAAUGAGGACUCACCACUGAUGGUGCUGAACUGAAGAUGGGAAACCGAUCUAAGCAUGAUCUAGAAGCUGAGAACCUGAACCUACAUCACGAGAAGAUGUAGCGCAGAGUAUGCGUCAGUACUUGAAAGGUACUGAGCAUGCAGGAUAGAAUAAAGUUGAAUAACAAUAUAACUGAACAAAGCAAUAAAGCAACGAUAUAAUCUGAACAUGAUAGAAAUGCUGAGUAUACUGAACAUGAACUAACUGAAUGUAAAUACCAAGUUUAUAACAUGCUGAGACUGAAUACUGAACUCAUAACAUGGUCAAUGCAAUAGAGUCUGACUGAACUGUGGGAGCUCCUAAUAACCGACAUAAACCACAUGAACUAAAUGUGGAGUCCGAUGUAUACGCCCCAUCGAGAGGACCCAAUAUACCCUGCCAAAGGUAUAGAGGCAUGACUGGCGUGAUCACUAAAAUGAUGCCCACAGAAGGGACUUACAACCUAUGGGGCACGUAGUUCUGGGACUUGCGGGUGACUGACCCUAGUCCACUCGGUAUUAAGUCUACUCCCAACUGAUUAUGUAAUUUAGCAAUUUAUAACUGAAAUGAUGUAUAUUCUGGAUAGCUCAAAUGCUGACAUGCUAACUGAAAAUGCGACAUUAAUGUAUUGAUAAUGAACAUUUAUAAUUGGAGCAUGUAUAACUGAAUAAUCACACUUAGCAUGUGCAAUUCAUGAACUAAAAGAACUACAUAACUAGGGUUCUGAAAUUAUGAAGGAAUUUCUACUAAAACAUGCUAAAAUUCAUAAUAAACCGAUUAGGAAUAGUAAAGUAACUAAUUCAUGAUAAUCUACUUCAAUUCUAGAAACCCUAGGUCUAGUUGAUAAUAACGAAAUCAAGAAUCUGACUGAAAUCUAGGGACCCAAUGGGCGAAAGGAACCCACUAGUGAAAUCCCACAUACCUGGUGAAGAAUUCCACGGAGAAAUCUUUCGAUUUCGGGGCUGGAACUGAUAGAACCUUGUUGCGUUCUUGAACUAGGGUUCUUGACUUCUUUCUCCUUUUACGUUCUAAUUUUUCUAAGUUUUGAUUCAUGAUCUGACUUAGGUAAGUUCUAGUUUGUUUACUAGGCUAAAACUAACCAAAACUACGUAGUUUAAGGGUUAAACGACGUAGUUUAGGUGUCCAACUCAUCGGGAAAAAGAUCAAACGACAUCUAACUUUAAAUCUGUUGAAGCCACAUACGGACGGACCGACGGUCCAUCGACUGAUCCACGAUCCGUCUUGUCAGUCCGUCGGUCGACUUUAGAGACCAGGUUCUGAGGGGUCCUGAGGGUCUUAACCUACUGACUGAUCGACGAUCCGUCCUGUCCGACCGUGGGUCAUGCGUUAGAAUGAUUUUUGUUCGAGUUUCUGGGGAGAGUUGCAUAUGUGAACCACAUACCACCAGCACGGGCCGUGGGUCACCCUACGAUCUGUAGGUGGCAACUGUGGGUUGCACCUGCAACUUCUGGAAAUCUGCACUAAGGUCUGUUUUCGGAUACGGGGUGUUACAUAUCCGAUUCGUUCUAGCUAAUUUCUAAAUGUAUAACUAGAGAAGUAAAAGAGACGACAAAUUCAUUGAGUUUAUGUCAUAUAUUUUAGUGUUACCGGUUAAAAGGUUACAAUAUAAACAUUAUUAGUAAAUUUUCUUUCUCCGAAUCAUUUUUUAAUGUAAGUCAUUCAAGUUUCUCUAUCGAGAAAAGAAAAAGUCUUGAAUUUUAAGUAAAGUUAUUUAAUUCACAAAAUUUUAUCUCGAUCAUUGUGUAUGUAUAAUUAGUCUAUUGUUAGAAAAGUGUAACGACUCGGAAAAUGAUAGAGUGAAACUAGAGCCUCACAUGUGAGUUUGGAGUCGAGAACUUAAUGAAAUGAUUAUAUUUGAAUUUGACCCAAAAAGUUCUUAAAAAUGUGCUUCGGAAGUUACCGGAAACUUGUUUAGCUGUAUAUAAAAAGAUCCGUUUCGUUUUUCGAAAAUCCGACUUCAUAUUCUUGUUUAGGGGGUCAAAUUGAGUGGGAAAUGGGUCUAACCCAAAUUUUAGAGCAACCGUAUCAAAAUCCGAAAUUUCCAAGUGAAGCCUUUUUCGAGGGUCUACUUUGAAGGGUCAUAUCUCCUAGCACACGAAUUAUUUGGGUGGCCAAUAAUAUAUCCAUGGAAAGCCCUUUGAGUUAGCUACCUAACGCACUUCGUUUCACCUCAUUCGGAGUUCGGACGAAGGAGUUAUGCCCAUUUUCGUAAAGUCUGUCCGGCAGAAAAUGCAAAUUCCAGUAGCCGAAUUUACUGUUCAUUACUGUUCACCCGCCCCAUUAUUUUUUCUAAGUGUUGGACUAUUCUUCCAAAUGACUUAUAUUAUUUCCUAGGUACCAUUAGUUCAAUUCACUUCUCUAAAACAUUUCCCUCACUUCUCAAAUAUUCUCUCCAACUCAAGAAGAAGAAGAAGUGGGAGCUAGGCUUUGGAUUCAAGUUUUUCUUCAUCAAAUUUCUUGAGAGAUCAUAGCAAAGGUAUGGUGGCUUUUCAUCUAUGGGUAGCUUUCACCCAUAGAGUCCCUUCAAAACAUGAUUUCAAAGCUUCCAAGUUCUUCAAAACCUAGGGUUUUUAUUCUAACUCAUGGGUUCCUUCUUCAAACGUUUUCAAAUGGUUAUUAAUGACUUAUUAUGAUUGUAUUAGUGUUUAAAUGAUGAUUUAUGAUGAAAAUACUCCAUGAACCCAUGAUUUCUCUCUAUUCCUAGUUUAUGCCUUUAUAAAGUGGGUUGCUUGAUAAUGAAUGUAUAUGAAUCGAACUUGUUUAAAUGUCUUUAGAUUGUUGAAGUAUGUCAUUACUCAUGCUUAGUUUAUGGUGUAUUGUUGGUGUAUUGGUAUGAGAGGCUUAUGGCCUUAAAGGCAAAGUAUGAGAAAUUGAAGUGUUAUCAUGACAUUGUAUGAAUGAGAGUUCAAUGAAGAUAAUGUGAUCAUGUUAUGAAUGUAAAGGUGUUGUUGUAGGUUGUUCACUGAUUUGGUUGCAUAAUUACUACCCUAUUUUCCAUGCUCUUUGAUUCCAUUACAUGCCUUCAAGGUGUUUGACAAAAUGUCCAACUAUGGAGAAUUGAUGAAUCGAUGCUUUAAAGCUUGAGUUAUGAGAUGUAUGGAAAUUCCAUAGAUGUGUUGAUGACACUCAUGAAUGUUGAUGAUAUAAUAUGAAGGAUUCUUCAAUAUAAAGUAUACCUUGAAUUGGUAGGGCUUAUGCAUCAUUUUCUUGUAUAAAUGAUUAUAUUGUUGAUUGUUGAAUCCUUGGAUCGGUAGGCUUAUGGCACCCUUUCAUGUGUUAAAUAAUGAACCUUGGAAUCGGCAGGCUUAUGGCACCCUUUCAUGUGUUAAAUAAUGUACCUUGAAUCGGUAGGCUUAUGGCACCCUUUCAUGUGUUAAAUAAUGUACCUUGAAUCGGUAGGCUUAUGGCACCCUUUCAUGUGUUAAAUAAUGUACCUUGAAUCGGUAGGCUUAUGGCACCCUUUCAUGUGUUAAAUAAUGUACCUUGAAUCGGUAGGCUUAUGGCACCCUUUCAUGUGUUAAAUAAUGUACCUUGAAUCGGUAGGCUUAUGGCACCCUUUCAUGUGUUAAAUAAUGUACCUUGAAUCGGUAGGCUUAUGGCACCCUUUCAUGUGUUAAAUAAUGUACCUUGAAUCGGUAGGCUUAUGGCACCCUUUCAUGUGUUAAAUAAUGUACCUUGAAUCGGUAGGCUUAUGGCACCCUUUCAUGUGUUAAAUAAUGUACCUUGAAUCGGUAGGCUUAUGGCACCCUUUCAUGUGUUAAAUAAUGUACCUUGAAUCGGUAGGCUUAUGGCACCCUUUCAUGUGUUAAAUAAUGUACCUUGAAUCGGUAGGCUUAUGGCACCCUUUCAUGUGUUAAAUAAUGUACCUUGAAUCGGUAGGCUUAUGGCACCCUUUCAUGUGUUAAAUAAUGUACCUUGAAUCGGUAGGCUUAUGGCACCCUUUCAUGUGUGAUGAUGUCAAAGUAAUGAACUAUUCUAUGGGAAUGUAGGCUAAGCACCGAGCGGAUUUGGUUAGAUGGAAACUCCCCCGACAGUUAGGCAUGAGUUUCAAUGAUCGUCUACCUUAUCCCAUAAACUAUGUGCCCGCAUAGGAAGCUAGUGGAUCCAUUAAGCUAUAUAUACCGGUCUUCCUUAGGCAAGUAGACCACCUCUUUUCGGUGUGGGGACUCAUGACACCGGAUUCCAUGACAAGCUCUCAUGGUCUAUGUCGGUUAAAUGCUUACUUCCCAUCCUGUGAGAUUUCAUUAUGGUUUCUUGACAGGUUCUACAAAGUGUAGGUAGUAGUAUGGGAUGCUACCUAUACAUUGCACGAGUAGGCUUGGAGAGGGUCAUAGUGAGUUUCUCUAAAUCCUAAUGACUGUGACAUGAAUGUACCCUAAAUGAGGUUAUUAAAGAAUGUUGGCUCUUAAAUGCUUAAUAUGUUAUGCAUGUUAUACUUGGGUUAUAUUACGAGUUAUUUUCCCUUGUCAUGUCUUAAUUAAUGAUAUACCUCUUAUGUAUGAAUAUUGUGCAAAGGUGAAAGAAAGGAAUGAUAAGUUACUUUAAGUGACCUAAAUGUGGUGCCUUAGUAUGGAUGGUGGUAUGGGACGCCAUCCAUACAUUGCACGAGGUAUAGCAUAAGGGUUUCUUGAGGUGAAGGUCCAAGGUAAAGGUUUUCAUGUUGAUAUUGUUUAAAGGUGAUAUUAUGACUUACUUGAUGUUAUGCUUGUCUUGUAUGUCUUUUAUGCUAUUGUUCAUGAUAUUUCAAAAAGGUGGCAUAAUGCAUGGUUUCUAACUAAAAUGUCCCUUUUAAAGCAUGUUUUGCAUGGUCAUCAUACUUAGUACAUUUUUGUGUACUAACCCAUAUUCUUCAUGUUUUUACUACAAGUGUAGGUUCCGGCAAGUGAUCCCUCUUAGCUAGUUUGAAGUGUUGGAUUGCUUUCCUCCAAGACUUGGUAUGUCCUCAUGGAUUCGAGGAUAAGACUUUUAAGUUCUUUUGUUCAUGUAAUAGACACUUUUAGUUUUGUUUUGAUUGUAAAGGGCCGUGUCCCUACUUAUGUUUUUGUUUGUGUCUAAGAUGGCCAUGUGAGACUUAGACUUCCGCUGUGUGUUUUUAAAGUUGUUUUAAGAAGUUUAAAUGUGUGGAUGUAAAUAAGUUUUUUUAUUAUUCCGCACUAUUUUCAUUAUUGAAUGCAAUGAAUGACUAUGUGGCUUGUAUAAGACCCCUUCGGGGUCGAGUACGCCUUGUUACGACUUGGGGGUGCUCCCGGGUCGUGACAAAAAGGUUGCAACACAUUGGUCUAGUUGAGUCACAUGGUGUUAGCUAUACUAUUUGGUAGGUCUAGUAACCCAUGGAACUGGCUCCCAGAGGACCCAAUUUUUUUUCUAAAAAAUCUUGAUGACGAUCUCCGUAAUGAGUUGGGGAAUCAUUACGUAUACUAACAUCAUUUUUAACGCAUAUUUUCGCAUUUACAGACCAUUUUUUUGGAAUUACUCAAAUUUCUCAAUUUUCAUGCGUAAUGAGUUGGGGAACCAUCAUAUAUACUCACACCAUUUUUAAUGCAUAUUUUUGCAUUUAUAUGCCAUUAUUUAGGAAUUACCCAAAUUCCUCUAUUUUUCGUGUGUUAGUCUAUGGAUCUAGCUCCUCGGAUAACUCAAUAUUAUUUUUUUUGAAAAAAAUUUAUGAGAAUCUCCGUAAUGGGUGGGAUAACCAUCACGUAUACUCACAUCAUUUUAUUAUUGUAUAUUUUCGCAUUUACAGGCCAUUUUUGGGGAACUACCAAAAAUUUCUAAGUUUUUUUAUGUGUAUUUGCCCAUUCAUCUAGCUCCCCGGAGCACCCUAAAUUUUUUUAUGAAAAAACUUUAUGAGUACCUCUGUAAUGAGUUGAUGAACCAUCACGUAACUCACACCAUUUUUAACGCAUAUUUUUGUAUUUACAUUCCAUUGUUUAGGAAUUACCUAAAUUCUUCAAUUUUUCGUAUGUAAUGCCUAUGGAUCUGGCUCCUCGAAAUAUCCAAAAAAAAACUCUGAAAAAACUAUGUGAACAACUCCGUAAUGAGUUGGGGAACCAUCACAUAAGCUCACACCAUUUUUAACGCAUAUUUUCGCAUUUACAUGCCACUUUUUAGGAAUUAUCCAUAUUUUUCAAUUUUUCGUGUGUAUUAACCUGUGGAUCUGGCUCCCAGAGCACCCAAAAAAAAAUUCUGAAAAAACUUUUUGAGGACCCCCGUGAUGAGUUGGGGAACCAUUACGUAUAUUCACACCAUUUUUAACGCAUAUUUUCACAUUUACAAGUCAUUUUUAGGAAUUACCCAAAUUCCUACAUUUUUCGUGUGUAUUAGCUCAUGGAUAUGGCUCUCCGGAUCACCCAAAAAAAAAUUCUGAAAUUUUUUAAGAGGACCUCCAUAAUGAGUUAGGGAGCCAUCAGGUAUACUCAGACCAUUUUUUUUAACGUAUAUUUUUGUAAUUGUUGGCCAAUUUUUUAGGUAUUACCCAAAUCUCUCGAUUUUUGUGUGUAUUAGCUCAUGUAUCUAGCUCCCCGAAGCAUCCAAAAAAAAAUUCUGAAAAAACUUUAUAAGGACCUCCCUAAUGUUGUGGAACCAUCACGUAUACUCACACCAUUUUUUAACACAUAUUUUUGUAUUAAAUGCCAUUUUUUAGGAAUUACCCAAAUUUCUCAGUUUUCAUGUGUAUUAGCCCAUGGAUCUGGCUCUCCGGAGCACCCAAUUUUUUUUUUGAAAAAGUUUUAUGAGUACCUUCGUAAUGAGUUGGGGAACCAUCUCGUAUACUCUCACUAUUUCUUUACAACGUAUACUUGUAUUUAUAUGACAUUUUUUUAGGAAUUACCCAAAUUACUCAAAAAAAAAUUGUGUAUUAGGCCAUAUCCCUUUACUUUGCUUGAGCUGCCUUCAACUUGGUGCCAAGUUCUUGCACUUGGCUUUUGCAACUUUAUGGGCUUCUUCAUUAUCAAUGAGUGUUAUAUUUAAAUCAUUUAUUUCGAUCUUCAAAGUUUCUGUUUUCUUCUUCAAAGUUUCCGGUCUCAUUUUAAAAGUUUUCAAUUCCUCCUUGCUAUCCUUCUUCUUUUCUAGAGUAUGAUUGGUAAUCUCUUCAACAUCAUUUUUGAUGAGUACAACAUUUUUGUUAUUUUUCUUCAAUGCUAUCAAAGAUGACAUGAUUUUUUCUCUCUAUAUCUCUUGCAAUUGAAGCACAAAGAAAUAUAUUAUGUGAUAUCUCUAAAUCCUAUAAGUUGCAAUACAAAUAUUGGGGAAAAAAAAGAAAAAAUGGUGCUUGAAAAAUUCUAAAUCUCAAGUUGUGUUAGAGAAGCAAUUGAAGGGUGAAAAUUAAGGAACACAAGAAGGGCUUUUAUAGUUGAUGUGAAAUAUUUUUACAGACUAAAUAUUUGAAAAUCUUGUAAAUAACUAGUCAUUCUGUUUACUUUUAUUUGUCAUGUUGCGCUUUUUGAAAGUCAAUUUGACUAAUUUUCAAAGUUAAAUUAGAUUACAUUAAUUCAAUAUUUUAAACAAAAAAAUUUAGAUAUUCAAAAAUUAUACAAAAAGUACUAUAAGUUGCAAUUUUUUGCAUAUUAAUAUGAUAAAAAAAAAUGUCUGAAAUAUAUCUGAACUUUGACCGAAAUUUCUAUAACAAUACCGAACUUUGAAAAGGUCCUUUUACCCCCUGCUUUUCUACAGUAUGAUUGGUAAUCUCCUCAACAUCAUUUUUGAUGAGUACAACAUUUUUGUUAUUUUCUUCAAUGCUAUCAAAGAUGACAUGAUUUUUUCUCUCUAUAUCUCUUGCAAUUGAAGCACAAAGAAAUAUAUUAUGUGAUGUCGUCUCUAAAUUCUAUAUGUUGCAAUAGAAAUAUUGGGAAAAAAAGAAGAAAAAAUGGUGCUUGAAAAAUCCUAGAUCUCAAGUUGUGUUAGAGAAGCAAUUGAAGGGUGAAAAUUAAGGAACAAAAGAAGGGCUUUUAUAGUUGGUGUGAAAUAUUUUUACAGACUAAAUAUUUGAAAAUCUUGUAAAUAACUAGUUCAUUUUGUUUACUUUUAUUUGUCAUGUUGCGCUUUUUAAAAGUCAAUUUGACUAAUUUUCAAAGUUAAAUUAGAUUACAUUAAUUCAAUAUUUUAAACAAAAAAUUUAGAUAUUCAAAAUCUAUACAAAAAGUACUAUAAGUUGCAAUUUUUUGCAUAUCAAUAUGAUGGAAAAACACAUCAUAAAAUGUUAGUCAAAGUUUUAUAGUUUGACUCUAAAAAAAGAAAAUAUGACAAUUCUUGGUAAGACAAACAAUAUCAUAAAUAGGUAAAUAAAUUAUUAUCAUUAAUUCAUUCUUUGUCUGUCAAUCCAAAGUGAAUAGAAAAUCAUACAAAAUGAUAUGACUUAUAAGUAUUAGAUUUACAAUAUUAUCAAGAAAUUCAUUUCAAGUAAUUGUCUAUUAAAAUAGUACUUCAUAAGGAAAUUGGAAAAGAAAUUUUAUGAAUUUUAUUUUUAAGUAUCAAACUCAGUUAAUAGAUUUAGAGAAAAAAAAUGUAAUACAGAAUAGGUUAAAAAUAAAUUUCAUUUUUCUAUGUAAGGUAGGGUGAAUUAAAAUCUUCAUAUCUUGAAUGUUAUCAAACCUUUUGACAUCACUAGACACAGUUUUUCAAAACAUCAACCUAUAAAUAAAAAUGCCCAUAGCUCAGGAAGAGAUUUGAACAAUUAAUGUGAAAAAGUCUAUGAUUAUCUAGGUAAAAAAGAAGUUUAAUUACUAUCACUUUUCAAUUAUUUAUUUCUUGAUAAUAUAUAUGUACAAGAGGGUAAUCUUAAUUCCUCCAACACUAACAAAGCUUCUCCAAUAGUGACAAAGCUUUUGGAUUGGAACUAAACUAGCCAAUAAAAGAACUAAUUUGUUACGAUUCAAAUCGUCGUGAUCGACACCCACAUUAAUUUUCAUAUGAACAAACCAGAACAUAACAUCUAUCACAUGCAAUAUUUAAAUCAACCAUCAUAAUUCAAUAAGCAAAAUAUGAUGAAAUAAAGUCUCUGGCUAAGUAAAAAAUAUAAUGCAAAAGUCUGAAAUAAUACAUCCCCCAUAGUUCGAAUGUCAUCAUAUUAAAAGUACUAUAGAUAAAACCGUCCACGAAUAUCAAAUGGAUAAAUAAAUAAAUUGUAUUAAUAUCUAAAAGAAAAGAAGAUUUGCGGCAGUCACACGGAAGAUAGAUCGGUGUUUAUUAGCAUACUUAUCAUAACUCUUGCACUUUUAGCUAUAUAUUUAAAACAUUUCAAAUAUUUUGUUUGAAAGCACGGCUAACAAAAGAUAGGUCCUUGCUUAAUAUUCUUUACGUCUAAAAAAACUUGAUAAAGACUUCUAUAAUGAGUUGGGGAACUAUCACGUAUACUCACACCAUUUUAACGCAUAUUUUCACAUUACAGGCCAUUGUUUAGGAAUUACUCAAAUUUCUCGAUUUUUCGUGUGUAUUAGCUCAUGGAUGUGACUCCCCGAAGCACCCAAAAAAAAUUAUGAAUUUUUAUUUUGAGUACCUUCGCAAUGAGUUGGGGAAAUAUCACUUAUACUCACACCAUUUUAACGCAUAUUUUUGUAUUUACUUUCUAUUUUUUUAGGUAUUAUCCAAAUUUCUUGAUUUUUUGUGUGUAUUAGCUCAUAGAUCUGGCUCCCCGGAGCAUCAAAAAAAAUUAUGAGGACCUCCAUAAUGAGUUGAGAACCAUCGCGUAUACUCACUAUUUUUUUAACACAUAUUUUUGAAUUUACAUGCCAUUUUAUAGGAAUUACCCAAAUUUCUCGACUUUUGGUGUGUAUUUGUCCAUGGAUCUGGCUCUUCAGAGCACCCAAAAAAAAUUCUGAAAAAACUUUAUGAGGACCUCUGUAAUAAGUUGGGGGAACCAUCACGUAUAUUCACACCAUUUUUAAUGCAUAUUUUUACAUUUAUAGGCCAUUUUUUAGGAAUUACCCAAAUUUCUAAGUUUUUUGUGUGUAAGCCCAUGAAUCUGACUCCCCAGAGUACCCAAAAAAAAAUUCUGAAAAAACUUUAUGAAGACCAUCGUAAUGAGUUGGGGAAUCAUCUUGUAUAUUCACACUAUUUUUUAACACAUAUAAUUAUAUUUAUAUACCAUUUUUUAGGAAUUACCCAAAAUCCUCAAUAUUUCUUGUGUAUUAGGCCAUGGGUAUUUCAUCAUAAAAAUAACUUUCCAAAUACUAUUAGCAUCAUAUAUAUUUCAUGAAAGUCCUACAACUUCUAAACAAUUUGUGAUUUAACACCUUAAAUAAAAUUAUAGAACAAAUUGAAGGAGUGCUUACAUAUAUUUGGUUUCAAUACUUGAUUUUUCUUUCCAUAUAUUUUCAAUUCUUCUUUCCAUAUAUUAAUUCUCCUUUCCAUAAAUUUUAGAAGACUUUUCUAAUUCUCCUUCCAUAUAAUUUGGGAGUCUACAUUAAUUCUCCCGUCUUUUCCAUGUACACAAGGAAAGUGAAAACUACAUAAAUACUACUUUCCAUAUAUUUUAGGAGUUUAGUCAAUAUUAUAAAAUAAUUAAAUAAUAAUUUGAGAAAAAUAUUAAAUAAUAGUUUUGCCUAUUAUAAAGUCUUUUAAUGAAAAUAUAGAUAUGAAAUCUGAAAAAUCAGAAUAUUUUGUGCAUAAAUUAUCAAUUGACAAUGCUUAGCACAAAGUGCUCCAUGGCUCCAUGAAUUGUAACAUCAUUAGAAGAACAACUUUUUGUGAUAUGUUUUCAUAAAUGAUAGACAAUAGACAUUAAAUUUAACUAACUUAUUUUGAAUUGGAAUAGUUAAGCUAAUCUAAAACCCUAACAUUCAAGAAAUUAUUCACUAUUCCUUGAAAUGUAUUUCCUCUUCUUUAAUAGCGACAUCAUUAACGAAAAAUCUUGCAUACGCCCAUUAUUUAUGUGCUCAUCUCCCUUUGCUUUGUUUGAGUUGCCUUCAACUGGGUGUCAAGUUCUUGCACCUUGGCUUUUACAACUUUAUGGGCCUCUUCAUUAUCAAUGAGUGUUAUCUUUAAAUCAUUUAUUUGGAUCUUCAGAGUUUCUGUUUUCUUGUUCAAAGUUUCCACUCUCAUUUUCAAAGUUUUCAAUUUCUCCUUCCUAUCCUUCUGCUUUUCUAGAGUAUGAUUGGUAAUUUCCUCAACAUCAUUUUUGAUGAGUACAGCAUUUUUGUUAUUUUUCCUCAAUGCUAUCAAAGAUGACAUGAUUGUUUCUCUAUAAAUCACUUGUAAUUGCAGCAAGAAAAAAAUAUAUUAUGUGAUGUCUCUAAAUCCUAUAUGUUGAAAUAGAAAUAUUGCGGAAAAAAGAAGAGAAAAUGGUGCUUGAAAAAUACUAGAUCUGAAGUUGUUUUAGAGAAACAAUUGAAAGGUGAAAGUUAAGGAACAAAAGAAGGGCUUUUAUAGUUGGUGUGAAAUAUUUUACAGAGUAAAUAUUUGAAAAUCUUGUAAAUAAUUAGUCUUUCUGUCUACUUUUAUUUGUCAUGUUGCGCUUUUCGAAAGUCAAUUUGACUAAUUUUCAAAGUUAAAUUAGAUUACAUUAAUUCGAUAAUUUAAACCAAAAAUUUAGAUAUUCAAAAACUAAACAAAAAGUACUAUAAGUUGUAAUUUUUUGCUUAUAUAAAAUUUUAGUCAAUUUUUUAUAGUUUGACUCUAAAAAGAAAUUAUGACAAGUAAAAGUGGACGGAGGUAGUAUAUAUUGAUUUACAUUAGAUUUUAUCAGAAGUUUCAUCAUUCAUCAAUCUUAAUAACCUACCAAAAAUAUAAGGGAAAAAGGAUAAAUAUACUCCCGAACUAUCGUAAAUGGUAUCUAAAUAUCCUUCGUUAUACUUUUUAGACACUGAUGUCCUUACCGUCCAAAUUUUGGAACGUAUAUAACCUUUCUACUAACGGUGAACACGUGUUGCAAUCUAAAACGUCUAUCCAAAAUUUAUGAAAUUUCAACCUAUAAAUAAAAGAACCGCCUGGAUUAAUUAGAAAGCCCACCUAAAUUAUAACCCAAAACUUCUCUAAGCACUAAUCAUCUUCUCCAUCAAAUUCAAAUUAAAAAGCUUCAAUUUUCUUCCCCACCAAAACCCUAGAACUCCCCAUUCGCAUUCCCAAACUCCACCACUACCCAGAAACUUUUGUUUGCCCUCUUGCCACCAUUGAAGCACCAGAAAAGGUAGUCAAGCUUGGAGUUUCAGCCGCAUCUUUGGAUCCGCCACUGUCAUCAACGCCCCUGGUCGAGCAGCAACAGAUGCACCAGUUGUGGUUGAGGAAAAGAAAUAAUUUGACGUAGUAUUCAAUGAAAUUUCUAGUAAUGCUAAAAAUGUGACUAUUAUAUUUAGCUUUUAAAAAAUAAUUUAAAAGAUUUAAUAGUGGAGGUCAAAGAAAUUUUUCUUCUCCUCAACCACAACCACAACUUUUAUAAAAUUAUUUUAUAGUGGACGUCAAAGAAUUUGACGAAGUAUUCAACUGGAGCAUCUGUUGCUACCAAAGUUUUAGGAGAAAAAAAUUGUUUAUAGUGGAGUAUCAUAAAUUAUUUUUAAAAUGCUAAUAUAACGAAAAUUCAUCUGACAUUUGCUAACAAAAAUUCUUCUAGGUAUGUUUAUAAUUAAUUGAGCAUCAAAAUGAGUUUAUAUGAAAUUGCAUUUGCAAACAAAAAAUCAUGUGGGUCCGUUUAUAAUGGAAUUGAGAAUUAAAAUGUAACAAUCCGAACCGUCGUUAAUUAGGAGAAACAAAAAUUUGGGGAAUUCUGGGCCACUGUCCCGCCACAGCGGGCAUGAUGCUGUUAGGGCGGCGGCGCCAGGGUGGGAUAAGUUGGCGUCAUAGCGGGAUAGGCGAGUCAGAACGUAAAUGAUGA